rnacentral:lncRNA from 1 species
CAGGUAAACUGUGCAAUUAGUUUUUAUUUUGUCUAUAUUUAAUGUUUCAUGCAUGUGUCUGAAAGAUUCGAUGUGACGGUGAAUUAAAAUUUUUUUUUCUUUUCUUGGUGAAGUAAACAAGGCCCCAGUUGUUGGUUCGAGACUUUACGACUUCCGGAUACGACUCUCCAAUGUCUGAUGAGAUGCGCACCUCGUUGUCCUCUGCCACCGCAUGAUCGACCAGGCCUUGUUUAGAUGUGUUUAUUUUAGAUUUUGGUACUGUAGUAUUUUUAUUUGUUUGUGUCAAAUAUUAAUCAAUUAUGGACUAACUCAGGUCAAAAUAUUUGUCUCGUGAUUUACUGUCAAACUGUAUAAUUAGUUUUUUGUUUUUAUUUUGAUGCGAUGGAGAAUCUUUUAGGGGUGAACUAAAUAAGGCCCGUUCACAAGGAUGGUGAUGGCCAUGGUGAAAUCGUCCAGUUCAACUAGAUGAUGCCCCAUUGUCAAAAAAAAAGAAGAUGCCCGGAAGCAGCUUUGGCCAAGUUGAGCGGUAGAGGAUGUGCGGUUGUUGUAAAUAUGAAAAAAAAUAUUAUAUUUGUCAUUAUAUCAAGUUUUAUUAUUUAAUUUAUUUGUCUACGCCAUCUUUCGAACAACGAUGAAAUAUAAGUGUGCAAUGGAGAAUCUCGAACAGAAAUGUUCACCAGCCCAAUGUUUUGUUUUUAAUAACAUUGCAGGUAUAUGAUUUCAUAAAGUUCUGAUAGCAAGAAUCAGUAUUAUGUAAUUUACGGUGUCAAAUGUGCACACCUCUGACUUUACCAUCCUGCUUUUUUACCAACACUGCCUAACCUUUUUUUUUAAAAAAAACAACCUUUUUUGGUGCACUACGACAAACCAUACUAUCGCUGCUGCAAGACUUUGUAUGCCUAGUUAAUUUAUAAUUAAACAAUAUUUGUCACAUACAAGCAAAGUGCUACAAUUGCCGUUUUUCAAAAAAAUUUGGAACUAAACAAGACUUUAAUUGAUUUUGGAUGAAAAUGAUCUUUAUAUAAUACAAAUUUAAAGCUUUAAACAAGAUUUAACUUUGUAUUUUGUUUUUUUCAUUUGAGGUUAUUAAUAUGCUCAAAAAAGAUAAUAUAAAGUUUCAACUAACUAUUAAUUAUGUAUAAGUGUUUGUCACUUUAGAAAAUUCGUAUGGUGCCAAAUAAAGAUAUCUCAAUGAGAUUUAUAAAUUUAUAAUUUUGAGUUUUUACCUUAGAGAUCAUUAAAAUGCUCAAAAAUAUAAGAGCUUGUAUACGAUUAAUACGAUGCUGAAACUUUAUAUUAAUUUUUUGAGUAUUUUAGUGAUCUUAAAUUGAAAAACUUAAAACUAUAAAUUUAUAGAUCCUGUUAAUAUCUACAACUUUCAUAUAAAAGGUAUCUCUUUGUGGUACCAUAUAAGAAAGAUAUGAUUUUUCCAAAGCGAUAAGCGAUAAGCGUUUGUAUGCGAUUAAUAAAAAGCUGAAACUUUAUAUUAUUUUUUUUAGCAUCUUAACGACCUUAAAUGAAAAGGCUUAAAACUAUAAAGUUAUAGAUCUGGUGUGUUACAAUUUUCAUAUAAUCGUUUGAAAAAUAUAUUUUUUCUAAGUUGUGUCACAUUAGCGAGUCGCCAAGUGGCAGUCUUGCCGCGCUGACAUGUAUGGUGUUGCAGUGUGGCGCUGACAUGUAUGGCGUGGCAGUGUGGUUUUGCCGCACCGUCGUGCAUGGUAUGACCAAAAGAGUUAGUUUAAAAAAAUAUAUAUGGUUUUAGAUUUAAAAAUAGUGUUAAAAAAAUCACCAUCACUACCUACAUCAUGCUCCUUUACCAUCUCACACAUCAGUAAAUAGUAAUUUCAGUCAUGUCUUUUCAAGCUUCUAUUUGGGCAUUUUGACAAUCUAUAUACAACAUGGUUGGUCCUAUGCCAUAGAUUAUGAACCCCAUAUAUUUUUCGGUAUUACAAAAAUGCAUAAUUGAAGUACAGUUUACUCAUUUGGUUGUCUGCUUAAGCAAAGGCUUGUAUAGUGCUCAAGCCUCAAAGCGGCUCAGUGCUGCAUUAGCUAAUACGCUAGAUUUUUUUAGUAUUAGACAAUGCAGGAAUAUUCUCAUUCCCAUACUUACCAGAAAUAUGAGAUCUCAACUCUACUAGAAUCUUAAUUCAACCUUGAGGGCUAAAACUAAACCCUCAAGAAAAUUGCUUUUUCAUUGAUGGUGCAAGUGUCCAUUAUUCUGUAUGUGCAUCGGUUUAUGUUUCAUCAAGUUACUUUUUUACACGAGUGCGCUGAGUUGUAUUGUAUAGUGUUGUGCUGUAUGCUUCUUCAUCCUAUUAAGCCUAUUCGUUUCUCUUUUCAACCGUAUUUUUUCUACCAGCCGUGUUUGUCUCGUGCUUAUACACGUUGUGGCUCUCUUCUUGGCCAACCCACGCGUGUCUACGUUUUAUUUUACUGCGGUAUCUCUUGCACAAGCACCCAAGUAGAGUAUUACAUUUCCUGUUACAAGGUGAUACUCCAUUUUUUCUUUUAUAAGUGACAAUCAGGCCUUGUUUAGAUACACCCAAAAUUCUAAAAGUUUAUAAAAUUUUCCAUCACAUCGAAUCUUUGGACACAUGUAUGGAACAUUAAACAUAAAUAAAAAAUAACUAAUUGCACAAUUUACAUGUAAAUCACGAAGCGAAUCUUUUAAGCCUAGUUAGUCAAUGGUUGGACAAUGUUUGUCAAAUACAAACAAAAAUGCUAUAGUAUUAAACUUCAAAAAAAAAUGCAUCUAAACAAGACCUCAGCCUACAAGAUGUAAACUUUGUUAAAAAAACAACAUCAUUCGAUUCGUGUUUAUAGAAGCACUCUGCCAUUGGUUAUAAUUUAGUAGGAAAAAGUCUACGUACCUCUCUCAAACUAUAGUGGACUAUUAAAUAACCCCGAAUUGGUUUUGUAUGGCGGUUGUCUUUUUCUUUUUUAUUUAUUUCCGCUAAAUAUUUUAAAAAAUCAUAGUAAAUCACAGAAAAAUCAUAAAAUAAAAAAUCUAAUUUUGUUGGACUCCACAUGAAUCGAUCUACACAGUGAACAUAUAAUACUAGUACAAUGCCCGUGCUAACGCUACGGCUAUAUCUGGGAAUGUUAUUAAACAAAAUCAAUUCCAAUCAGGAAUGUUUGUUUCUAACUAUUCUAUGGUCAUCUCAGCUAUUCUCUUCGUUCUUGCAUGUUCAUUUUCUCCAACGAGUGUUAGAAUAUCUGUGUAGAGUACCAUUUUUAUGAGGUCAGUCAUAGUAGUAGAGAUAUUAACAAAAAAAAAGAAACUUGGUGACAUAAGAAGCAUGAAGUUCUAUAUUUGACAUUUACUGCUGCACAAAGGUAGUAUACUUUCUGUCGUGGUUUCUAUGACAAGGCCACCAUGGCUAUGCUCUCCGCAGUUGCAAUUGCUUCAGUAUUAUCAUCGUUCAAUAUAAUUUGUGAUUUUUGGUCCAUCUGCAUUAUCUUUUUUGUUACAGUAAAGAUUAAGAUAAAUUGGCUCUUUCACAUAAAUAAAAAACAUAUUAUGUAGCUGAUAUUUACCGCUAGCCAUAGAUAUUCUACUUCCUAUCAUGGUUGUCGUGGUACUGCCACCAUGGCUAUGAUCCCCAUCUGCAGCUGGUUGGAUAUUUUCCUUGUUUACAAAAAAUAGGCUAAAAGUGAGAAUUCAAAGUGAGACACUGCAAAUAGGAUCAAUGUGAGAAUUCAGUAUAUUUAAUUAGAAAAUUUCUAACAACUAUAAUUUAGAUCUUUGAAGGUUACCUUGGGUUUAGCGGCUUUUAUUUCAUGCCAUGGUUGUGCCUGAUCCUCUCUCUAGUCUACCUAUAUGAUCAGCACAAGAAACAAAAAUGACGUCACAAAAUGUCCUCUUUUGAAGUUCCAGGGCAAUCUCAUGUUGUUAAAACUGUAAUGAGAAAUUAGAUGAUGCGGCUUUAGGGGCUUAAAUUUAUUCAUGCAGAAACGUUCUUUUUUGUUUAAAGGCAGCGAACAGAAGAACGAAAGAAAAAAAAUGCAGAACGCACACAUGGAUCACCUGUUGAGCUACUGCUUCCUUUCAUCAGCUUUUUUAUUCUUCAUUAGUAGAAUGACAAUCCGAUACCUUAGUCUUCUUGUAAUUCUUCUCAUUCAGCUAGGAUAGUGCCGUAGUGAAAAGGAAAUCAAGUACCGUAGCGAGCAGCAGUGCAGCAUCAGAUUAAAUUCGUUUUCUGAAUGAAUUGCUCACCUGUAUUUUUGGCUUUGCUCUGGCCAGGAACUGCCCUCAUCCCCGCGAUCCGUUCUGGCAAGCCUUGUGCAGGCAUGUACGAAAAUGGAUCGCGAUCGGCAGUGCAACCGUUAGGGUUCUCGAAGACCGCGUGCCGUCGUGGUGGAUGUUCUUCCACUUCGAUCCGCGGCAGUUGCUCGCCGACGCCAACAACAGCUCAAACCUUCAUAUCAGUCUACUCGUUCUAGCCGCCGCUGAACCCCAGCGCGUUUGGGGUAGAUGUGAGGACGAACCUGACCACGCGUUUGCGGCGACAUGCCCCUGCCCUUGACCUCCGUCUACGGCGCAAUCACGGCGUGCUGGUCCAGGAUCUACGCGUGGCCAGGUGGCGGAGUAGCACGCCCGCCUCAAGGACGAGCAGCCUAAGGUACCGGAUCAAGAGGAAGCCAAGCGUCGUGACCACGGCCAGGUGCAAAACCGCGUCGACCACCGCCCGUGGCAGAGGAGGCCUGCGUGGAUCGGUAGCACGCGGAGGUGCCGGCCGCCCGACGGUCACCGCGAUCUCCCUAGCUACGGUUUUAUUUUAGCGAUACAUAUAAAAAUUACAUGUGCUGAGUCGUUGAUCUUGCAGGUGGAAUUUGUCUGGAGAAGAUUUCAAUUAUAGUAGAGAUAGAGAUAGUGUAUAUCUAAAUGCAUAGCAAAAACCUAAAAGAUAAAAUGUCUUAUAAUUUGGAAUUGUGGGAGUAAUAAAAUUGAGGUUGCAGAAACAAGUCGUCAGGGAACAAUAACCAACAUAGUAAAUUAAACAAAGUAUUUUUCCAGCAAGAACUAUGGAGAAAUUUUGCAGCCUGACAAAAAUAAGCAAUGCAAUUACCGAGUUGAGUAUUCAAAUACAGCAGAAUUACUGCUAUGAAGGAUCUGAUUAUUAGUGCAAAAAAGACCUCCAGCUCGACUCAUGCCUGUUCAGAAACUGGUGACCACACCGUCGUCACCGGUGAUUCCAUCGGUGCCGGGAAGACGGCGAGUGCACCGCACCAACACCGUUCCCCUUCCUAUAGGGUUUGCUGCACAACACCACCGUCGCCAUCGUUCUCCUGCUGCUUCUGUCAUCAACAGUGGUGCCUCUCCAUCCAUGAUCACUACUUGUCCGCACAACUGUCCUCGGUUGUUCUGGUCGAUGAUCAUGGUGUUGCGGUGAAUUAUGUUGCCCACAACGUCGGUGCACCAUAUCUAUAAUGGUUUGUAGCUUUGCUCGCUUUGCAGACGGCACCCAUGGCUUCCAUGUCGGCAUGGGAGUCGUCUUGAACCGCCAACUUGACAUCACCAUUGUCUGCAAUCUAGCCAUCGUGUACCUCUCUUUCCAGCUCAUCAAUGGCAUGUCCUCGUUGGUGAAGUACGGUGGUUCCUUGUUGGAGAAGAUCGGUGGUGAUCUGUAUUCGACACGUUGCUGACGAUGGGAGUUCAGAGAUCUGAUGGACUCGUACCUGGCCUUCCAGAGCACGGCGUCGUGGUCGGCGACGAGGCACCUCAGCUCCUUGCUAGCGCACUCCACCGUCGCGACGUAGUCGGCGACGUGGAGCUGAGCCUACAUAGGAUCACCAUCUGUAGGUCGACGGGAAGACACACGAAGCUAGGCAACACCGGCACGUCGCUUUGGUGGCAGAUGGAGAGAAAGAGGCGGCGGCACAGCUGAUCUGUGAAAAGCUUCCAGAGCCACGGUGCGCCGCCAUUGGCGUCGUCAUCCGGCGGCGACGGCGACGACAUCGUCAGUGCGCGAGCCGCGUCGUCCAUGCCGCACGAGAGGACGGGCGCGAAAGCCGCCAGCGGCAGCCGCUCCCUUCGAGCGUUCAGAUGGCGUCCGUUGCUGUCGACGUAGCGUCGACAGUGAUCUUGCCGCGGCCGCCCUCGCGGUGGGCCAACUGCGGCACCGAGUAGCGGCUGGAUACAGACCAAGGCGUCGUCUCCGGCGCGUCGCACGGCAGGAAGCCAGAGGAGAGGAAAGCGGCAUCGCCCAUGAUGCACAGGCGGCCGAAGAGGUCCUCGGCGUCCCAGUGGGCGGCGUUGGUGACCUUGUUGAGGGGCCAGGACUUGUUGGCGGCUGCCAUCGCCGUUGCCCGUUGGUACACAGAUGCGAUCCUGGAGGAGGCCGGCAGGAUGACGGACGUGCGUGUGUUGCGGCCUUUUUGUGAUUGACGGAGGUGUGCGUGUGUAAGGUUGUGAUCAUACUUCUAAUCUGGACCGUCAAAUCUGUAGGACAUGUGCUGUGAGUCGUUGAUCUUGCAGGUGGGAUUUGCCUAGAGAAGAUUUCAAUUAUAGUAGAGAUGGUAUGUUUUAGUACAAAAUUUUUAUUAUAACUUUAAAUUUAUGAACUAUUCCAAUUAAUUAAACAUAGAUCUAAAGCUAUAGUAAAAAAUUUAUACUAAACUAUAGCAAAUUAUAUGUUCACUAUGUAGAUCGACUCACGUAGAGUCCAAUAAAGAUUCAGUGAAAAUAAAUAAAAAAAUAAAGAUAAAAUCACCAUCACUGUAGCAAAACUAGCGUCGAAAACCGCUCGAGGGAGUUAUUUGACCGGUUUUAUAAAAUUCAAGAGGUACAAAAUCUAGUUUUAUAGUUGGAGUGAAGUAAUCCACCCUGUAUAGUUGAGGGGGUUACGUAGACUUUUUUCUAAUUUCAUAGCUAAAAAUUAUAGUCCAAUAAAUUUCCAGAGUACCUAAAUUUUGGGAGUAAACCAUAGUAGGACGAGUAAAGAAUAGAUCCCUGGAACAUGCAUAAUUUGCAACUGGGCUAGCUACGUUUGGAUUUAAGAAGCUGUAGAUCACAUUUGCCAUACAAAGUUGCAUCGCACAAUAAUGACAGGAUAGUUCUUACAAUUUCGUGAUCUCAUGUAACCAUACAGCAUAACCUUGAAAUGUUGGAAAAAGUGGUGCUUGAAGCAUCUCUUGCUGCCCUCACCUUGCCGUCGAUGAGCGAGCAGUGAUGGAAGAAUGAUACGUUGUGCUCCUUUGCUUCCGAUAAGAAGAAUAUACAUCAUCAUACUGGCUCACCUCAUUUGGAUCGGCAGAAGCUCCGAGACCCAACCGACCACUGGACCCAGGUUUACUGUCAAUGCUACCAUCAGCACGCAUCCCUGUCUCAGGGUUUGUGACAAGCAGAUUCGGUGGGGGAGGAAUGCAAGCGCCUCCCUUUCGGGCAGGAAGUUCCCUCUCGUAGUCAUCGUAGUCACCGGGCUCGCUUUGUCUCAUUGGACCUUCUGAUGGGUUUACCUCCCCAAUAUCACUGAAGAACUUCGAUACACGCUCAAGGAUCUCAGACUCUGGGACGGUUGAUGGAGGGAUGGUUGUGGGGAUGUCAAGCGGGCUUAAGGGAGAGUAAGGCACUCCACUACCUAUUUGCAUCUUCCGAACCAUUCCGGGAAUGAGGCCAGGGGGGAAGAGUGGAUAAGGAGGUGGAUUCGAAUCAUUUGUAGGAGCAGUGCUUUGAGGAGCCACAGAGGGAAUUAACGAUGGUUGCACUGGCAAAGAUGCUGCAAAAGUAGUUUGGCCUACAGGAGGAUAAACACCAGCUGGAAGUUGGUUUGCUGGAAAUUGUGCAGAGGGAACAGAUUGGGUUGCACCAGCAACAGGAUGGAUUGCAUUAUCCUUCUCUGGAGGUUCCGAGGACCAUUUUGAGCGCAGUGGUGCUGAUCCUGCAAAAAUAUCUAGCAGCUUUUAGGUUUGCUCCCCAAAAAAGUAAAAUGGGCAUUACAUUAAAAAAGCUAUUCCAAAUAGACAUUGUAACACUAGAGAGUCUAACGAUAGAAUGAUUUAACUGAGAAGAAACAUACGUAAGCAGCCAGAGAAUAAAGUUCUCUAAUUAGAUGAUGGGCCAGAUAGGUUUCCAGGAACGAAUUUUAGAAAGUUACGAAUCAUUCUAAAUAAUGGCUAGAACAUAUAGCAGCUACUGCAGUCCAGAGCUACUAUUGCAGAAAAUUUCAGGGAUCAACAUAUCAUGAUCACAGCUAUGUGAGUUGAUGAAUCAAAUGAAGAAAAAUGGUAAUCAUGUGGAACUCAUAGGUCAAGUACCGAAAGAAUACAAAAUAGCGUCCUUAUUUAAAAGCUAGCAUCAUCAUCAGAUAACAAAAAAAAGGAGAUACCUGAAAAGGUCGAGGGAUCUGGCGAAACAUGUCGUGGCACCAAAGGAUAAGGCAAGGCACCUUUCAUCUCUCUUUCAAAAUUAGCAAUUGUUUCCUGGUCGUAAACUUCCUUUGAACCCCAAAACUGAAGGAUUUUCUCAAUGCGAGUCUGGUUGUCAUCUUUACUUUGUGAAUUAUUGUAAACCCUUGCAAGCAUGGAACCCAGUACGGAUUUAAAAGCAAUAGCCUCAUUGUCAAGGUCCCGAAUAUUAGUUCGCCUUUGUAAGCUGUAGAAUGUCAAACAAAUUCAGAAAUCAGUGAUGCAGUUACAAGUCAUGUGCACAUUGAAAUUCUCAGAAGCUAGAUUUGAUGGUCAUGCAUUAGCAGCUUUUUGAGAAAAGGUGUGUUAAAUCUCAUUCUGGUACAGUCCGGAACAACUGGAUUACCUCAGACCACCGCAACAGAGGUCAAAUCCAGUACUGGUCAUGGUUCUGAAUUUCGGCUGUACCAGGCGAAAUCUAGCAUUCCGUGGAUGCCAGUACCAGUUGAUAACAAAGGUUCACACCAGCCGGCAUAAGACUAUGAGGGAUUUUCUCUCAUUUUGCUACGCACAGGUAUAUUUGCUAGUUGACAAUAAUUAUAAGCUAAUAAUUACGAAUAAACAUAAAUGUAUUUACAGAAUGGUACAUCGUACACAGAUAUUGUCUGGUACCGAAACAUUCUGUCCCAAUUUGUCCAGCAGAAAGGCAUCCGGAAUGGUAUCCAUAAGCUUGUCAGGGACCCUCCAAACAAAAGGAUGUAUGCAUUUGGUACAACAGAAUAUCGUUUAGAAAAGCAUAUCACAGCUUCAACUGGGUGCUACUUGCUAUUUUUAUAGCACUGCAGUUUGUAAUGGACCAAAAAAUGGUAACAAACUGGGGAGUACCACUUUCAUCCGCAUGAGAAAAGGGUCCUGAAUUACUAGAUAUAUCAUAUAUGAUCUCUUAUCAUUAUGAAACAAAGCACCUGGGUAUUUUUCUAUGUUUAUCGAUUUUAUAAUCUGUCAAAAGACAAAAGUAUGUUUGCUUUUGAAGGCCUUCUAUUUGCCAAGAAGUAAUUAUCUUCCAAAUUCCAAUGUUAAAAUGUUGGCCUUAGCAAAGUUUAGUAGUGUUUCAAAUGAAUUAGGGUGAACUAAGAUUGCAUCAAGUACUCCCAAUUUGGUGAGUGCUUAUAGUGUGGAUACUGGAAAUAUGAAUUAGUCACUCUACAAGCUACUGCACUACAGCAAUGAGAUAUGAAAACAAUAUAUAUGCUAAUUAGAUGACACUUCAUGCACUGGUAUGUCAGUCAGCAUGAUAACUGAAGUAUUCAUCAAAAGGAACAUAAGGACAAUUUCUAAACUCAAGAACUACAACUAAAAAAGAAAAGGCAUAACGUAAGCAGUCCUAUUUUAAUAAAGAUAGGAAACAGAUCGAGCCAUACCUUUCAAAAAGAAUAUCGUUCACUAGGAAGAUUAUGUGCAGCUGCCGCUCUGAAUCCUCCAACACAAAUACUCUCUCCUUAAGAGCUUCAGCCAGAGCCGGCGUAAAUGGCAAUCUUUGCAUAAACCAUGACUUUGCUCCCUUUAUUGAUUCCUUAGUGCCAUUAAGAUUGUUAAGCACAUCUUGCAGCUCAGCAGCAACAUCAGCAGGGAGCGCCCCAGACAGUCCCUUGAACGGUUGUGCCGCAGCUUCAUAGUCCCCAUGGCCGUGAGCAGCAGCAAACUGCUGGUGCUGAUCAUAGAAUGGAGGGUACCCCGGCUGGUGAAUCGGCGGCCCCCUCAUCAUAGGGCCCAUAGGCGGCAUCAUAUGCAUCGAGCCCGGCGGGUAGGGCGACGGCACAGGCGGGCGCGGCAAGAGCCAGAGCAUGUACCUGUAGUAGGCGUGACCUUCCCCGCCGAAGACGAAGGCGUAGUCCGGGUUGUCGUGCUGCUUGUCGCGGAUCAUGGCCUCGAAAUCCGGCCCGUUCUUGGCGAUGUACUCGACGAGCUUGUCGAUGCGCUUCUGGAGCUCCGGAUCGGCGGGGGGCGCGGCCGGCGGCGGCGGGGCGGAUUCGAACGGCGGCGGGUGCAUGUAAGGGUGGUGCGGCGGCGGGGAGGGCGUGGACAAGACGUGCGGCGGCGGCGGGUGCGACGCGUAGGGGGGAGGCGGCUGCUGGUGCGGCGGCAGGUGCGAGUAGGCCGGCGGCAUGGGGCGCGCGUAGGGCCCGGGCGGGUACUGCGGGAGCGGCGCGCCGUAAGGGUGGGGCGGGUACUUAGGCGGCGGCGCCUGCGGGUGGUACCCGCCGUACUGCGGCGGCGGUGGCUGCUGCCCCUGCGCGUACGCCAUGGCCGCGGCCGCGUAGUCCUGGGGUUGCCGGUCCAUGAGGGGCUCCGGCGAGAGGAAGGGUAGGGCUCCGAGAGCCGGCGACGGCGACGGCGGCGGCGGCGGAGACGAGACAGGGGGAGAGGAGACGAGGCCGAGAGAGCUCGCGAGGUGUCACGCUGGCCUCGCAGAGGGCAAAAGGCCGCUGGACCAGACUCCAAUCGGCCCAUCAUGCAAUAGGAUGGCGAUUCGUUUUCGUGAUCCACUAGGCCCACCAAUCAGGCCUUGUUUAGUCCCAAAAAAAUUUCAAAAUUCCCGUCACAUCAAAUUUUGCGGAACAUGCAUAGAGUAUUAAAUUUAAAAGAAAACAAAAACUAAUUACACAGUUUGCCUGUAAAUCGCAAGAUGAAUCUUUUGACCCUAAUUAGUCUAUGAUUGGACAAUAUUUGCCACAGACAAACAAAAAUGCUACAUUACCUAAAAUCCAAAAUUUUUGCCAACUAAACAAGGCCUCAAUGGAAGAUCUGGGUUGGAGUGGUUUUAAGUCGACUUUAUCUUAUUUAAUUAUAGUAGCAAACAUACUCGUGUGUUGCAACAGGAGAAAAGCUAUCAAAUAUUUAACUUGUUUGCUUUAACUUUUUGCACAACUGCAAUGACCACAAUAACCUAAUUUCUAUAGUUGUUACUUUUGAUGUUGUGAGUGGUUGUUGUAACAAUCACAAACACACAGGCUUGUUAAUGAAAAUAAAGAUGACGAUGUUAUAUAUCUAUUUACUAUUUAUAUUUUUAUGUUUUAUGAUGAUCAUGAUAUCUCUAGUAUAAGUUAAUAUUGACGAUAUUCUAUAAAUUAUGUAUUGAAUUAAAAUACAAUGUUGAUACAUUUUUUUCCAUUGUAAAGAACGAAAUAUUUACUCGCAAAAGUAUCAUAAUUUUAGUUUUUAUACUGAUUGUCCAUGUGUUUGUAGAUUUUGAUAUCAAGUUAUGUGACUUUUUUUUUAAGAAUCCAUAAAAAUAUGUAACUUUAAUAUUUAGUUAUCGUGUUUUAGUUUCUACAUGGCAGACCUUGUUGAAAGUCAUACUGGUAUAUGUAGACAUUUCAGAUAUUUUGCAUUGGUAUGUGUAGACAGCUUGGAGAAACAUUUGUUUUGAUUAGAUUGAACGUGAAACUGCUCAAGAUUUCAGUUUACAGAUUGAUUAACUAGAUCAUCGACUAAUCUAUGUCAUAUUACUUAUUUUAUUAUUUGUAAUUAAAACCAACAACUUGAUUCAAAUAUUUGUGUAUAUUAAGUAAAUAUCAAACUUAAAACCCCAUAAUAUUAUAUUACUAUUUAUCUUUAUCUUUAUAAGGAAAAACAGAGUUAUUUCACCAGGUAAAAAAAUAAAUCACGGCAAGGGAGGCAGCACUUUCCUACCUGUUUUCCAUCGCCCAAAGACGGCUCUUCGAAGCAAAAAGAAAAGGAAAAAAAUUCCACCUUUUUACUCCAUGUCCAUCGUCCAGAAUAUAUCACGCUAGGAGUCUUACAUCUUACAUAUAUGUAAGAUCAUAGACGAUAGAGAGCUCAUAUAGCAUGACGUCUAGAUCAAACGGUUAUUAUAGAGAGAAAUGAGUCUUACAUCUUACAUAUAGGUGAAAAAAAGUUAUCAAAGACUGCUCUCCUAACGACAGGAAAGCAAAAUUUGUUUUUUCCACAUUCGUCUUUUUACUCGAUCUCCAUCGUCCUUACCGCAGUAGGAGUCUUACAUCUUACAUGUAAGAUCACGGAUGAUAGAGGGCUCAUAUAUCAUGACGUCUAGAUCGACGAUUAUUAUAGAGAGAGAGGAGUCUUACAUCUUAUACAUGUAGGUAGAAAAAAAAUCUUGGCAAAAAUUUUGCCUCUUCGUUAUUAGAUAUAGAUUAUAUAUAAAUAAAUACUUAAAAGGUUUAAAAUAUCGCUCAACUUUUAAAAAUUUUGGGAAGAAACUCUAGAUAUAUAAUGAUGUAUUAAGAAAUCCAUUUUUUUUUUCAAAAACUUCAAAAAUAUGAUUUAGAUCUAGAAAAAUGAGAAAUAUAUGAAAGAACUAAAAAAUUACAAAACAUGAGUACAAAAUUUUUGAAGUAUAAACAUAUGUUUUAAUCAUAUUUUUGACGAUGAGCCACCCAUUUCCUUCUAAAUAUAAGACACAGCCAACACGAAUGCAACGUACAUUAAUAUUGAAUGGAUUCAUGCUAGUCAUGUAUUAUGUUUUUUUUGAAAACAUAUUUGCAUAUCAAUUAUAUUAUUAUAUGUUUUGAGAAAUUUCUAGAUUUUAUGGAUAGUUUUCCAUUUUCCUAGAGAUAUUAUAUCUACUUUUUAAGCAUCUAGGGAUUUUCAUGAGCUCUAAAUAUUUUAUUUAGAUUUGUCAUGUCUCAAUCUCUCUCUCUCUCUCUCUAUUCUUUUUUGAAAUUCUUACAAGUUUAGACCUUUUUUGUGGUUUAGAAACCUAACGAUUUUUUUAAUAAAAAAGACAAACUCAUCUUGAAAUCCACUCCAAGCAAUUUGAAUGGUGUUGAGAGUUCAGUGGGUAAGAUAUAUAGUUUUAAAGUUUAAGGAGAAAAACGAUAGUUCAAGAAGAUAGAAUAGACUUUUUCUUGGUAUAAGAAUACUGCAAAUGUGUCUACUGAAAUUUGGAUUGUGAUCCAUCACGACCGCAAGGAACUUGAUCCUCUAGAGUUUAUGUAAAUUCAGAAGGGCGCCUCGUUUACAGUCUUUAUAAGAGUACAAAUUUUACAUGAAUGGAACCAACAAGCAUAAGAAUUUACAUUAUAUACAAAUGAUUUUUAAGGAGGUAAGAUGAGACAAGGUGAGCCACCCAUUUCCUUCUUUUAGCGUCUGGACAUCUAGGCAACACCUUAGAAACCAUGAUUAUACAUAAUGUUGAUUUCCUAAGACAAGCAUAUCAUAGUUAUCAUUUAAAUGCCAUUCAAGUAUAAAAUGCUCAGAACGCCCUAAGGUUGCAAACAUGAGUACAUGGCAUGGCAAUGUGGAGAUUCCAUCUUGACAAGUCAAACUUGUUAAACAUUUUUUGUGCACUUUGACAAGUCCACAACUUUAUGAACCUCUAGUAACAGAAUUCAUGUACUUAGAAUUUAUGAACCACAAGUUCAAGGAUCACGCACACAUUUCAUGAUAGAUAGGUUGAUAAAUGAAUCAUGGAUGCAUGGUUUGUAACCUGAGGCUGAGGUAGAAUAACACAACCAAUCCAAAAGUCUCUAUUCAAACUGGCUAGGAAUAAUACAUAAAGCGAGUACAGAUUAGUAUCCUCUUCGAGCCUCACGAAACACAAAAGAAAAAUAAUGUACUCACGUUUGACAGCAUCACAACUCAGUCUAAGCACAUAAAUAGCUACCAAAUAUACCAGCCCCUACGAUGCAAAAGGCAUACGAGUAGUUUUAGAAGCUGGCAUAGAUGUCGUCUGUUGAAAUUGCUUCCUAAAGCUCAAAUCAUUAUCAACCACUGACAGCAUCCACUCACUAAUCAACAUCAACUUCCUCAUCGUCACCCUUGUACUGAAUGAAAAACAGAAGGCAUAGUGUCAAGAGUUUAUUUCAAGAACUGCAUAUACAAAAGCUAAUUUUCAAAACAUAUUCAAAUGUCUUCCAAAAAUAAUAAAUGAGCUGUUAGUAUCCGAAACAGAAGGUGACACUAAUAGAGCAAUGGAGAAAAAUCAAAAUACAUUUUUAAGUCGGGCAAACUACAACAUAAUAUUCCAUGGUACACUAAAAUGUUUUAAAAGAUAGAUUAUAGGUUAGGAAGAUAUAUGUAGACGACUUGAAAUACCAGAAGAAUCCAUCAGACCAAAAAAAAAAAAAAACACUGCAAACUUCUUGAAAAUGAUCAAGCUGAAAGCAUUUUUACAACUUGUACAUGACUAAGAUUUGCCCCAUGACAUAAUUAUUGUAAAUAAUACGAUGCAUAUCAAUGAGUUGCUUGACCAAGAAGGGCAUGCUAAAAUAGUCUGUUUCAUGUUCUACAUAAUAGAUGAUAACAAAGAAAAUUAAUGGUAUCAUAGCCCAGUUGCUGGAUACUACUUGGUAACAUGGGGCUACACAUAGAUAAAUAAAGUUAUUAUUGCUGAACAAUUGAAAUGUCGAUCACCAUAACCAUUACUGGUGCGACCUAUAUGGCUACAUGUAGAUUUAGUCCUAUGUCUUUGUACAAAAACAGACAGCUGUUCCUCCAUAGUUAUUGAAUCAUUCAGUAAGAUUGCCCAAAGGAUAGCAUAGCCAAGAGGCUCGCCCAGGCAACCAAACACCUCUAGAGCAUGAGUGCAACUUAUUGAUGUGUGGCUCUCAUGUUUGUCUCAUCUCUUGUGCUGCCAUUCUCAUUCGUGCUGGUUGGAACUCCACCAUCACCCUUGCACCACAUCCUCAGGACUGCACCCUGAGCAUGCUCUGGAAUUGUGCCACUGCCAGCCCGCGGCUGAAUUUCACUCGUCCUGAUGUGCCACCUAAGGACGCCUGCCGCUGCUCUGGAGUUCCACUGCAGCAGCCAGCACCAGCAAUGUGGAGUGGGCAAAAUGCCAGAACAGGAAGCAACACAGAAUCAAGGUUGAGAAGGUGCAGCUCACCUUCAAGGAGUUUGAGCUCUGCAUUGGUCGCUCAUGAAUCGUGCAUGAACUAAUGAAGCUGUUGACAACUGCCACGGCCUUGUCCACACCCACAUCCAAGCCCCAGAGGAAGCCAUAGGAGGAUGGCUGCAUGGCAUCAAGCACUUGGCACCCACUGUCACGUAUGGGCGCCGCAGCACCAAGUAAGGGGAGAAGGAGAAGGAAGUUUAGCGCCUCAAUUAUGCCACCUGGACAGCCUUGAUGCCAUUGGCUUGUGCAAUGCUGGAAGGGCCAGGUGCAGCUGUACAGGAAGACGUGCAAGGGGCUCACUCAGUCAGGAGUUGGCUGCCCACAUGGGCUCUGUCUGGUGCAUCAACUCCAGCCUGGUCGGAUCAUACCUUGCAAUGGGGAGAGGACCUUGUGAUCUAUGUGUGGGAGGUGACAGGGAGGAAGAAAGUGUGAGUUGCUCGGGGAAUGAUUGACCAGAGAGAGCAAGUGACUGUGGACAGUGCUCGGCCUCCAGAUGUAUUGUGUGAAGGGAUAAGAAAGGAUAAGAGGCAACUGCAUAAUGGUCCACUAACAUGUGUUGGGAAAUAAAAUGGAAAAGGAAAAGAAAGGAAGCAGAGAAAAUGGGGUAGAAACACCUUAAACAAAGUUUGGGUGUCUCUGGUGUCAAAUUUCGGAAGUCGCAAGAAUUGAGUGUUAUAUCUUAGUGAGGCCUGCAUACUGAGAACCAUAUUCUGAAACCUCUCCUAAAUUCUAUGAUACCAAACUCACAAAACUACAUAAAUUUCCAUGGAAUUUGCAGAGCUUUUAGGAUAACAAAGGGCAUUAAAGAGAACGUCUAAUAAUAACAUAAUGAGGCAACAGAUCAUGACAUACUUAGUAAAUGAUUAUAAACAAUUUUGCUAAAUGAGUUAAUCCAAGAAAGAUGUCUCACCCUAUCCGCAAAAAUAUUGCUUGAAGAGACAAUGUUUCCAACAUCAACGUAGUCACCCUCCCUUAACUUCUUCACUGUAAAUGAUUCUGGUAGAUCAGUUCCCUUGCUAUCUUGGACAUGUUCUAGAGCAUCUUCAGGUCUAUAGUUCUCUGAUGUUGGGAUCAUAUCUUCGUCAUUCUCUCUCUGUUUCUUUCCUGAAAAAGAACAGUUUGCACAUGGAAAAAAAAUAAGUAGUAAAAUGUGCACAUAUUCAAGAUAAUGAUGCCCAUGUGUGAGAACAGGAGAUAUGUCAAACAUCAAACAGUAAGAGGGGAAAGUGGAGAAUAGGUAAUAACUAUCUUGACAUACUUGAUCAAUAUAGAUAAACAAUAUCAUUCCAGGAUCAAAUUUAUGUCUACAAAGAUUUCAGGUAGGUUUACCAGUUUUUGCUUCUUCACUUGUUGGGAGGGAAAUAGGUCUUUUUCUCGAAGCUGAAACAUGGUUUUGCCUUUGGUCACUUGGGCUCAUUUCAUUACCAGUAUAUAGAUCUUCAUUAGCAGUAAUCCCGAUGGAACCCUGCUCCUUGGUACAAGGCUUCAAAAUAUCUGAAGCAAGCAAAUCUGCUAGCCUCUCAAAGCGAGCCUGAGACCUGCAGACCUCAAAAUGGUGAACAACUAUGUGGCAAUCAUGUAAGGACUAAAACUAGGAGUGCUAUUAUGUUUUAUUUCAGACCAUACACAAGUUCAGGUACAUUUAAUAUAUGGGGAAAAGAAACCUGCCUCUUUAAAUCAUCCUGUGCUUUUAUAUAACGCCCAUGUGCUUUGAUUAGCUUUUUGGUUUUGGAGGUCAUCCUAAAUUGAAAAGGAGGCAUUAGGGGGGAAACAAAUACUUGGUGAUCUUCUCUUAUGCUGAAGAACCCACCAACUGGUAUGAAAAUAAGUAUUUUGUAGGAAUAUAGGACCUUUGGCAAUCUUCUUUCUCUUUGUUCAAUUGCAACUCAAGAUCUUCUACUCUGCUACAAAGUUUGCGCUCUUCAUCAGUCUUCUUCUCCAAUAUUGCCUGCGGUAUAGUGAACCAGUGAAAAAUAGUAAUAUCUAUAUAUACACCCAAGGUUGAUUAUGCUAAUUUGAUGAUCAGGACUGUUGCUUAGUCCUCAUCCACAGAAGUUCUACUUGGUCCUAAUGGAUUAAUUUAAAUGUCUUGUAACAUAGAUGAGAAAUUCCACAACAAUAAAGUUUCAUCACAAUAAUUACAGUUAAGGCAGAAAAAUAACAAAAAAGAGGGAACAAUUCGAAUCAUAGAGUAACUAAUAAAAUCACAACCGUGAUCAACUGACAAAUAAAAUGAACUGAUGGAAUCCAUGCUUCAAUUCCUCCAGAUAUAUUAACAACUCGAGGUGAUAAGUAAUCAAUAUGUAAGACAUGUCCUGAAAAAUCAUAACUGACCUCCAGCUUUGAUUUAUCUUCACGCAAUACUUCCAUGUCCAGAUGCAUUUGUUUCAGCUGCAGGGCACAUGUAAAUAUAUAAAAAGGUCUAGGAAUACGGCAAUAGAUUCACUUGUAUGUUGUCAUGGCAAUUUGAUGGAUAGCAUAGUUAAAACUUACUUGUUCUUCACGACCAUUUUUCUCAUCACUGCUUAAGUACCUUUCAUCUUUUCCUCUGUCUUCGUUAUCAGAACUUCUAUAACUUAUGGAUGAAUCGGUUUUUCCACCAUCAGGACUUUUGCUAUGUUUUCUCUCACUGAACAGUCCAUAGAACAUAAACAUAAAGAUAGGCAAUUUCAGAAGCCAUAAAAAGUUGCAAAAAAUAGCAUGUAUACAGUUCACAUGUCUAACAUAAGAUCAAAACUCUCUUUGAUUAAACCAACCCUGAAGACCAUACACCCCCAUCCAAAGUUACAAAUGGAUAAUAAUUAGACUCCAUGGUAGAUUGUGGAUUGAACAAUAGAAUAAAGGGUCUCAUAAACCACAAACUUAACAUUGCAGCUCGCACAGAGAAAAAAAUUAAAGAUAGGCAAUUUCAGAAGCCAUAAAAAGUUGCAAAAAAUAGCAUGUGUAUAGUUCACAUGUCUAACAUAAGAUCAAAACUCUCUUUGAUUAAACCAACCCUGAAGACCCUACACCCCCAUCCAAAGUUACAAAUGGAUAAUAAUUAGACUCCAUGGUAGAUUGUGGUUGAACAAUAGAAUAAAGGGUCUCAUAAACCACAAACUUAACAUUGCAGCUCGCACAGAGAAAAAAAAUUAAAGGAAACCAAUAAAUUAUCAGGGAUUAAGUCAUGAUGUCACACGAAGAUAGACUAGCCCGAUGGAAUAAACAAAUUUAAGUAUAUACAGAGUUAACUGAACACACAACAAACUGAACAAUGGCCACAUUCUGAAAUGAAUCCCUAAUAAUCGUUCCUACAUACCUCUUCCUAAUAGGUGAUCUUGAACGACUAGAUCCUGCAAAUGAAAUUUCAGGGAGUAGUUAGAGGAUAGAAUGGACAAUGGCCGAUAGUUUUUAUUGGCACAAGUGUGCACAGAAAAUGAUUACCCCUCUCUUCAGAACUUGGUCUCUUAUCACGAAAGGAACGACGCCUGGCAUCUCUUUCGGGGGAAUACCUAGGUGAGUGUCUUCUCUCAGGCCUGAGUCUAAACUCAUGAUCUCUGUAGUCCCUUCUCCCUACAAACCAGGAAGGUGAAAGAUUUACCCAAAAAACAUUAUGCCAUCGAAGAACAAAAGUUAGAUGGAACUGCAGUGAUAAAAGGCAACACAGAAACCCAUUAAGCUUACCAAAACCUUGAGCCAUAUGGUUAUUCAAUUAGCUACAAGAAUUAGAGGGUCCACAAUAACAUCAAUACACCAUAGGCCAUAAACACAGACGAGCCAAUACAACUAAUGAAAGAGUAGAUGCCAAUGCAUGAUUACACAUCAUGAUUCACCACUUAGAAUAGAUCCAAUACUUGUAAUACCAAUCCCCUGUAGUAUAUUUGGAUGGAAUCACCAAAAUUAAUUAUAAUUAGCUAUCAUGUUCCAAUCAUCAUGACACAAAAUCUCCCAAAACUCCAAUAGCACCAAACAAAUUUAACUUCACUUGAUCAGAUGUUAUCCAUAUGACUGCCAAAAAUCCUGUUCCAAGAUGAUGCUUGAAGGGCAGAUAACAAUAAAGCCACGGAUAUAGCUUGAUGCAGUAUAUUCAAAGGGCGUGUUUCAGUUAGUUGCAAAAGCUUCUAACAGCAUUGUUAAAGCUCACUGACCAUAGCAUGAACCUCAUCGAGAAGAAAAAAUGUAUGAUAUCUUCCAUAUUAAGUUAUUCUGAUUCAGGUUAAGCAUUCAAGUGAUCAUAAAUGACCGAUUGCCAACUGAAAAGAAGGCCAGGAUGGAAAUAUGAUGUGUCAUCCUCUGAAAGCAGUCAAUCUCAACAAAUCUGCCCAUGAGACAUCUAUUGUAAAAUAAAAAUAAUAACCAGCAAUGCCAUUGCCAAGAUUAUCUGCAAUGAAAUCAGGCUUGUUGAUGAUUUUUGUGUUCUGCAACAGCAAACACUCAGUUCAAGUACCACUACACAGGAAUCAUCAUAGUGUAUAUGCACCAUAAGACGAGAAGAUAUAACACGAACUGAGAAAAGAUUCAGGUGCCAAACCAUCAUACUAUUAUGCAAUUGAAGUGUAGAGUCUUCUCAGCCACGAGUAGAAACUAUAAAGCCUCCCAGAAUGGUCAGCUAUUAACAUUUGCACACCCAUUGGUACAUCCUCAAAGGAUGCACUUGCAAGUUGUUACCAUUAUAUAAUUCUUGCAGUUGCAACUAUCUUCCCUGUUUGCUAGCUCUGCUCCUGAGACCAUAUGAUUCAGAUCACAUUGCUAUCUGUCAGUGUUUGCUGCACCACUAGCAUUGAAACAUUGGGCUUUUGCCUCCAGUCAUCAACAAAUCAUCCCAAUAACUCGAUCAAUAAACAGGCAGAAGAUGCAUCUCUUUGCUCGGAUUGAAACCAUCCAAAUAACCUAAUCCGACAGAUUGACAUAAAAUCGACAACAUUUUGGGUACCGCAAAACCCAGAAGCAGACAGUAGCGAUGCAAAGCCCUAAAACGACGAACUAAGCGCGGAUCGAGAAUGAGAGCGAGAGGGAGGGAGGGAGGCUCGCGUGGUGCAUACCAGGUCGAGGGCGAGGCUGGAAGGAGGCGCGUGGGGGCGGCCUCCGGAGCUCAGCCUCGCCGUGGGCGAAACCGCAGUUGGGGCGGGGGCAGCCGCCCCUGCCCCUCCAGAGCGCGCACAGCUUCGUCUUGUACGCCGGCCCGCGGAAGGGAGGAGGGCCCGACGCAUCCGGGCUCCCGCCUCUGUCCCUCUCCCUCAUCCCCUCCCGCAUGGCUCCUGAACGCGGCGGACGGCAACCCCCGCUUGCUACAGUCGAGACGAGACGGCGGCCGACAGGGUGAGCCGAAGACGGCGAAUGCCACGAAGGGGGAAAGGGGAGGAGAACAGGGAAGAAGGCCGGAAGGGCCUAUAGGCGGCCCAUGGGAGUUUUCGAGCCCAGCAAGCCGAAGGGAAGCUCAAGGCUAGGGAUGUCAACGGGGAAUUCCCGUCGGAGGUUACUGCCCCAAACCCGUCCCCGCGGGGGCAAAUUCUCCCCCAUCCCCGUCCCCGUGAAGGGUCACGGGGAGAACUUCUGCCCCAUCCCCGUCCCCGCUCGGGGAUUAAAUCCCCGCGGAGAUCCCCGUCUCCGCGUCAAUUAUAUAAACAACAACAAAUCACUUACAUAAACAACAACAAAUAUCCAAUAAUUCACAUGCAAAUAACAGCCAUUUGUCUAUAAUUGCCUAUUGCAUAGUUCAUAACAACACAGAAACAAUCACAUUGUUCAUACAUUCACCACAAGUGAUUCAUCAACUAGAAAUAGCAACUAAGAAUCCAAACAUCGAGCAUAGGUUUAUUACUAUCGGUUCUCCACGGGGAACGGGGACGGGGGGAGGCACACCAGACCCGCCCCCGCAAAACCCGACGGGGACAGAUUUUGCCCCAUUUAGCUCCCCAUGGGGAGAGAUUUUACCCAAACCCAUCACCAAAUAGGGGAAUUCCCCCGCGGGAAAUCGGGGAUCGGUUCCCCAUUGACAUUUUGACUCAAGGCUCGGCGAGCUCAAGCCGUUUCUUAAGGUCGGCUCGACGCUUGAACUCGGCUUCGGCUUUGCUGCUUUGCCGUUUGCCCUAGACCCGUUCGCCGCCACGGAGGCUAUAAAAUAGGGCAACCCGUGCUCCUCUUUCAUGUACCUAGGGUUUCUGUAUCCAGCCCGCCGCCGCCGCUGCCGCUCUUCGCCACCGCGCCUAAGCUAUGCGUGUCAUCCUGGCUGACCCGGCCUCAUCGUCUAAUCUUUCGUUUGUCGUCCGUGCUGCUGUCUGUUUACUCGUAAUAUAUUUGCCGGCGGAGUAGUUUUGCAUCGUUUUGAUUUGUACCGUAAUGUUUUCCUCUCUUGUUGAUAACGGCGGGGGCACGAAUUCUUCCGUGCUGCGCCGCCCACGCAAGGAGGGGAUAGAUCGACGCGUCAAGAAAUCGUUUCAGUUGCCAUGACUCCAGUAGGCAAUAUGAUUGUUGCUUGACUACAGUUUUGUCUCCCACUACUUCGCCUAUUUUGUUUGUUUUGUUUUGAAAUCUCGGUAGCGAUUUCUAGAUCUAAUAACUCGGUUUCUGCAUGGUGCUAACCCCGGGCUUGUCGGAUUUACUACUUGAAGAAGGAAGCCCCAAUGCCUGUGCUAGAUCCACCAUGCCAUUCAGUGUUGCAGGCCCUGAUGAAUCUUGUGAUUGGUCUGUGUCAAAGCAAUGGAUACAUAUAUCCGUAAUACAUCAUUUCUUAUUAUGUUUGGUUUGCUGUUUCGUUUGAUUGAUUGAUUGAUUGAUGGCGGUGAUUUGACAUUACCCGCGCUUCUGAUCUAACCCGUGAAGCAAAGGGAAAAAUAAUGGUUGAAUUUCUUAAUAUGAGCCAUCUAGUAAUCAUUCAAUCGUCUCUUCUAUUUUCUGCAUCAGCUCAUUUGGUUCAUGUCACUAAUUUGGCAGUGAUGAUACAAUCAUUCAGCUUAUAACGCCAGUUCUGCUUCUGAUAAUUCAUGACAGAUAAAGCUGAUUCAUAUCUGAGCCUUGAUUUGUGUCAUGUUCCGACAAACCCAUCUUUAGGAUCAUGCAUUUUUUUUUUCUUAGCCCAAACCUUACAUCCCAUUGGCCUGUGAUGAAGUCACCCAAUGUUUGGAGGCUGCAAUCGGCUCCAAGUACCUGCUUGAAAGGUAGAACCUACUUGGAGCUCCUGCACUCGCGUUUGUGUUUUCAGUUUACAAUAACAAUGUUGUAGAUUAGUCAUUUCACCCGUAAUAAUUGUACUGGGUAAGUCUGCCCCGAGUUUAACUAUCCUUGCACUAGUGCUCUGAUCUGUGAUGAGGCUGAAAAACUCGGAAAGUGUGUGUUGUCAUCAGCUUCGGCUCUGUACUUGUGAGUUGGGAGUUAAAUAACAGCACAAGAUUGUUUACUUUUGUGAGUUUAAACCACAAAUUUUGCCUUGGUCUUGCAACAUUUUUUUUAGGUUUUAGAAGAUGAAGAGCUACUUAUAAGUCUAACUAAUUCGCCCUGUGUUGACUAGCUUAGGCCUCCUGACCAAUCUGCUUUGAGCUUGUAUAGAAACCACAGUAUCCUUUGCCUACUCUCCGUAGUCACUUUCACAAUUCAUUUAGUUUACAUUAUAUUGUUUGUGGUUAUUAUAAACUUAUGAUAUGAUUACUGAAGACUAAUUAAUUAUGAAUCUAACCGUAUCAAAUCUGUAUUAGAAAUAGUUAAAAAAUGUAUGCCAAAUUAUUUGUCAAAGAUUGUAAACUUUGUUUUUUAUAAUAUUAAUAUUCACGUGUUCCUUGUAAACUAUACUGGAUUGUGUUUUUAAUAACUAUGGUCAAGUCCAAAAUGCAUUAUGCAGCAUACUGAUGCCUAGAAUCCCUGUGUUAAAUAGCUUCAGGCACACCCUCGAAUCUUUAGUUCUUGCUUAGGAUUAGGAUUCCAAGCAUAUGUUGUGCAGCUGUAGCUCAGUGUCUUGUCCUGGUUAUGCUCUAUUUUCAGCAUCAUAGAUUUUCUGUGCUACUUUUGGGGACUAGAGAUUCAGUUGCUAUUCUGGUAUUAUUUCAUGAUUAAUUGUACCAGUUCUCAACCUUUUUUUCGUUAUUAUUGUUCUUUACUUCCUGCUCUGAGAAGUUAGAUUUUGAGUGGUGAUGAGCAAUUGUGUUUUGGACUAGAGUUUCUGAUACUACUUGUGGUAGUUGAAGACCAAACCCUUGGCUGUCUGAACUCAAAUCUAACAAGUGAGCAAUAUCAUCGUCAUUUUAGAUGGAUUUUUCCCCUUUUUUUUAUUAAGUGCGUCCAUUACCAAUUCAGGAGGAUGACUCUGUUCCUCUUUGUAUAAUGGCUUGGACGCGACAUGCUAUUCUAGUAAAUAGAUGUGUGGUUAUAUCCUGAUUGGUGGUGUUCUUUGUGCCAAUCCAAUCCUGGAAAGGCCACAUAAAUUCCCUCACAUGCAAAGAUGAUUAAUUUUUCACGUGUUUCUGGUAUAUAAGUGUUGUAAUCCUGAUCUGUUUGAUUGUUUGGUGUACCAUGAUAUUUCUUUCCUAUUGAAUAGGAUGGCAUGAUAGGCCCCAGAAACUUCUUUUUAUUGUUUGAGUGGCCUGUUAGAGGUGUGGAUGAUGAUAACAAAGUAAAAUACAGUUAUCCCUGUCUUAUUCCUUCCAAAGGGUGCUGAUAAAACUUUAUUCUGACACAACUAUGUAUUUAUAGUAGUUUAAUUAAAUUAUUUCCUUUCAGAUGCGUUUUAUUUUGAUCUGAUCAAAAGUUGAUUGUCUGAUUUUGUUUUUGUUCUUUGCCUGAUGAGAUGAUUGUUGCAGGACAGGCAAUCUUGUGAAUGUAACUAAAUCUGAAUUUUGUUUGGUUUGAUACCUUGAUAAAUGAAUUUAGGAGUGAUGGCAGUGACGACUUGGUAAUAUUCAAGCUCAACAGACCAAAUCACAUGUCAAUCUCUUUAGAUGAGAUUAACCUGUAUGCCGAAUAUCCCGCUGAACUGAGCCAUCAGGAUUUUCUGAGCUGUUUGUCCCAUUUGCAUAUUCAGCAUGUUUACCCUGUAACUGAUGUUAAUAUUUCUUGUUUUGAGGCUUCAAUAAUUAUCACUGGUCAUAUUGUGUCUUGAGAGGCAACAAAUUAGAGUCUCUGAUGUGCUUUUCUGUAGCACAUUCAGUGCUGUACGUUGCCAAUAGUGAGGAUGGAAUAAGUUAUCAUGCAUUCAUUGCCUUCUCAAACCGUGUGUGCAUCCCGAUGUCCAACAUUCCUCACUUUGCUUAUAAUUGUAUGGCCAGUGGUUUUUCCAUUGUUGGAUGACCACUAGGGUGAGUGCUUUAAUCUUGUCUUUGUGUGAUUACUACAUAAAGCAUCUUGUUUAUAUGUACUGUUCUGAUUUUUUUAUGAGCCUGAUGCCACGUCUCCAGUAGCUGUGGGCAUUGACUGGUGAUGCUAUGAUUAGGCCUAUACAGAGUGGUGUCCACAUUUCACAUGUUUAUAGGAACCUGUGGGCUGUAUCUCAAUCGGUCCACAGAGCCGGUAUCUGUGAUUACAGUUACAAACAAUUUACACAUUUUAUUUGGUGGAUUGGUGAUGAUAAUGAUGAGGCCUUUUUCCAUUUGCAGUAGCUGCCGAAGUGCUUUUGACCUGCCAAGCAUGAGAACUAGUGCUGUUAGAACAAUUCAUUUGGUGGAUCGUGCAAAUUCUUUUUUUUUCCUACUAGGAUGUCCUUUUGUAAUGUCCCUCAUUUUUCAGAUGCGAUUUAUGUUUUCAAAGGGGAAAGACAAUAUUCAAAUAGGAAUUCAGACAUGAGCACAUUAGGCAUUUCCUUAAUGAUCUGUAUUAUUGGAGAGUUCAAAGGGAAUAUUCAAAAGGGAAUGCAGAGUUCAGCAUGAGCACUUUAGGUCUUUCGUUAAUGAUCAGUAUUUUCACAGUGAGCUGGGUCCUUUCUCUUAGCUGCCUGAGGAGGAUAUUUAGGAGUUUACUUUUUUGAUAUCCCUCCAUAGCCUUCUGAUUGAUAUAUAUAGUUCCAGAACAUGCAGAAUUUCUUGGAACAUCUUACAGUUUGCAGAAGAACAAGGGUUUACUGAUCAUGUGAACAUCACACGGUUUUGAUGGGAGCUUAGUUUGCAGAAGAACAAGGGUUUACUGAUCAUGUGAACAUCACACGGUUUUGAUGGGAGCUUCUAGCAUUAGAUGAAGAAGAGAUUUCAGAAGAGAUUUCAGACUGCCGUAGUACUAGCUAUCAGCAGUUUGGGCAACAUCCAAAUUGCUGAAAGCUAGUGUCCAUGUGACUGCUGCCCGAUUAAUGUUUGCUUGAUACCAAACAACCCUAGAUAACUCACUACACGGAGAUAGUUAAAAGCAAAACUACAAACAUACGACAGACUCAGACCAACAUAUAAACUAGAAACAUCUCUGUUUAGCACAGAUGUCUCCAUUCUUGUUCCUACGCUGCAGCACUAUGAUGUGCCUAGGUUUCUUGUACUUUCUUGUACUUUCUUGUUCUUUUAUCAUGGAAAAUUUGCAUUACCACAGUGGAAAGACAGUAUAUAGAAAUAUAGUUCUUGUCAGCUCUGUUCUACAUAAUCCUACCAUUAUUGUUUCGAUGUCAAGAACAAAUUGCUAGCUCCUGAUCCACGUUGGUUUGAUCCAACGAGCUGCAAGAUGACGGCAAACAUGAAGUCCGAGCUGGAAAACUAUUUUCACUAUUGUACACCUGUGUCCUGCUUUUGAAACCAGUAAAUAACCGAAGUUCAUGCAGAGACGUGCUCUCAUGCUCGAAAAACAGAAAAUGCCGAUAUUCACACGCAUACAACCGCACAACCAUGAAUCCAAGAAUCUGGCUCAUUGAUGCAAUGAACACAAACGCCCAUACACUACUUACACCACAGAGCUGAUUAUUACAGUAGCGUUACUCAUAACAUAACAGAUGCCUGCUCGAUGGUGGUUACAUGGAGGCCAUAGCAAGCUGUGCGAGGCUCACAAGUCCAUGUAGAAACUUAGCUUGUCACAGCUCAGGAUACGGGAACGAUCAUUAACCCAUUACAUCAGGAAGAACGGCGAGGCAACAUGGGAGCCCAAGUUGCUUCUGAGCAUGUUGAAGCCCCGGAGGCGCUCCAGAUUCAUCACAUCGGAGUGGUCAACGAAGAGAUUUACCUACAUUUGCAGGCCGAUACAUGUCAAAACUUUAGGAUCAAAUGAACAAUGAGAAACAAUGGUAUCAGCAUUACUCAGCUUGAGUUUUUUCAGAGAGGAGUGGAGUCAGUACCCUUGGGCCAUAUCGUCUGACAAACCACUCUGAGGUUUUGGGAUUGGAAGCUUCAAACAUGGUCUUAUCAAGUCCGAGCCGGCCUACAAUCUUGGCAAUGAUGUCUGUCCUCAGAGAUUCAGCAUGCUGGCAAACAUCAUCGGCGUCGAUCAUGAUCAUAUCUGCGCCUGCUUCCAAGCAUCUCUCUGCCCUCCUAAUCAGCAGGUCAACAUCUUCAACUCUUUCUGCAAGAGUGGACACCAAACACACGUGUUUUGAGUAAAAAAAAAAGAAUUUGAUUACAAAAAAAGAUACAGGUGUAGCAUAACGUGCAAGGCUGUGAACUGUGAUAACAAAAGAGAAUAGUGGCAAAACGACUAAAUUAUAAAUGAUGAAUAAAAAAACACAAAACAACCAGUUAGUUAAAGGAAUCAUCUAACUGAACAUUGUUCAGUAAGGGCUGUUGCUUUGUGCAAACAUUAUUCAGUACUCGUUAUGAUAGGAGGUAAUUAGGGUCAUACUAAUCACAGUGUGUAAAUAGAUGUUGAAAAGACACCCCUAUUUUGUUUACCUGAGGUCUUCUCCUUGACCGGAGCUAUGUACGCCCCAAAGGCCCUAUCACCAGAUGCAGGAAUAUCAGAACUGUCAAACUUCACUGAAAACAUUGGCUUUGCCCUCAAACCACUACUCUUGAUGAGGCGCACUAGUCUCAACAGAGCUUCUUCAGGGAGGUUGAGAGAUCCAGGAUUCAGCUCAAUUGUGUCAAACCCUAAGGCCUUGCAUUCCUAAAAUGGAGUACUCAUGUCAUGUGCUACUCGGAAGUGAUUUCAUGCAUGUUUGCAAACUGUCACAAAAUUACAUAACCAUAACAGAGGCGCAUACCUCUACAUAUUGCUUGAAAGAAGAGGGUCCUUGACGCAGCAAAUGCUCUGCCCAAUCACCUGUGCUCACAUAAAUGUCAUGCUUGUGUGCUAGAUCAGUGAUCUCUCUAACCAAAUCCUUUCCCAUCAAACUAUGGCAUCCUCCAGAAAACUUCAAACCAUCAACAAAUGGACCAAGAGAAUCCAAUAUUUCCUUGAAAUAAUACAAAAGAGGAAUAUACAUCAGCAGUCAUUUAAGCAUAACCACCCAGUGCCUGCAAAAACCAGUAAACAGCUAUUGAUAUGCUUUCCUACGGUGAACUGUACUUUACUCAGUUUCAAAAUUUCAUUACUGUCUAUGUCAAAUCCCCCGGGGUCUUAAAAAACAGCUGAGGACUAGUUAUUCCUUGCUGAAAUCAAAAUCCAAGGGAGUAAUAUACACUUUAUUGUGCCUCCAUCACAUACCAGAAACCUAGAUGCUGAAACUACUCAUAUGGUUUCAAUCCAAGCCCUAGUUUUAAUCUAUUAUAGAGACUAAUUAACAGUCACACGCGAAUUUCACCGAAACAAACACGCCGUAUUCGCAUUCCACGGAAACUGAAUCGCACUACCAACUACAAUACACCCAAUCCAGGCAUCCAGCUCGGCACAACACACCACCAAACGAAUCAGAGCAGAGCACACACAGCGCCCCAAACAAGAGGUGGAAGCUGUGAGCCGGCGGCGAACCUGGAGCGCCUGGUUUGCGGGGCGGAAGGAGUAGAAGGGGCUCCGCAUCUCCGUCACCCCGUAACGCCGCGGCUUCUCCGGCCGGUCAUCCUCCUCGUUGCCGUAGCCGUAGCCCCGCAGCGACAGAGCCACCACCUCCACCUCCUCUCGCCACCCCCUCAUCGUCGCCUUCGCCGUCCACUCUCUUGCUCAGUUGCUCUCUCUCUCUCUCUCUCUCUCUCUCUCUCUCUUGCUCGCUGUGGUGGUCGGACAGAACGGAUCGCUCGAGAAAAGGCACGGGAAGAAGGCAGUGGAAGCUCGCGGCUGCUUCUGGAAACGAGAGGGCGACGACGUGUCGUGGGGACCGCCGAAACCGAACAAGUGUCUGCGUCUCGACUCCUUUUAUCCAGUCUUUUUUUUAGCAGAACUCCUUUUAUCCAGUCUGAACCGGGCCUUUUUUCUUUGGGCCUGGCCCAUUAUCAUCCUGUCCAUGAAUACUAACCCUAUAUGCUAGAAAAGGGCCAACAACCCGGAACGUUUUGGUGUAAAAUCCCGGCCCAGUAUAUAGGGGUUAGUAUUCAUAGGCAGUUUGCAUGUCCAACAAUGGAUGAUUGAAAUAAGUUUACUCUCGGGUCCUGUAAUAGAGGCAUAAAGCUAGUGUCUGUUUGCUUCAUGAAAAAAAAAGUUAUGAGAGCAUUUGAAGUCUGAAAGAGUGCUUCAAAAACCCUAGUUUUUUAGUUGAUCUAUGGUGAUGUAAAGCAGUUCCGAAUAGUUUCUUAGAUCUUGACUCUAAGGGGGCUCACUUUGCUGGGUUUCACUUACUAAUUACUAUACACACCCUACAAAGGUGUUAGAAUCGAACUCAAAAGAAUUUUUACAAUGAUUUGUUCUUUGUUGAAAUGGAAAAGGAACUCAUCUUUUUUCAAUUGGCAACAUUCUAAUCCACCUUAAUCUAUAGUACAUUAGGUGAAAAACUAUUUGUUUUCCAUCCUAAUUUAAACAAAUACAUAUGGAUUGGAGUAGAUUAAGGUGUAGCCAAGCAUUGGUUUUACUUUAAUCCACCCCAAUACAUAUAGAUUACUGUGCAACCAAACAAACUCUUAAACAAGUUUGGCCCACCUCGAUCCCUUGGCUUCAAUAGACCUAGCUUGGAUAAAACAACGAAGCCCAAAAAAAUCACUCCAUCCUAAAACUAUUAUCUCGAUCUUUUUUACACAAAAAUGACCGGUAGCCCUAGCCCCAAAAAUGGGCCGAACCUUUGCCCAUGAGCAGGUUUGGGCACAUUAUCUAGUCCUAAAGGUAACUGGACUUUUUUUUGCCAUCUAGAAAAUACUCAGUUAUAUUUCUGAUUUGUUUGCAAUUGUUUUGCCAUUACAACAUCUUGAGUGUUUGGCAUGAAAGAUUCAAAUUCCAAAAGUAUCUUAUCGCCUCAUGGGUCAUGGCCUCGAUGGUACCUGGUUGUUCAUUGAGGACUUCACUGUACAAGUUAUGCUAGCAUUCCUAUUUAUAUUGUUCAAAGGACUUUUGUAGAAAAAUGAUAUCAUUGGAUGCAAAAGUUAAUGUGCUCAUGACUUUUUCUAUAAAUCGUCUUGUGACUGCUUUUUUAUGUUGAUUAUUGGUAAUAAAGUGUUCCCGAUGCUAGCUCAUCAUUACGCAAUGGAUACUAGUCUCUCAACAUCAACUUGUAUUGAAACAGAGUGGCACAUGGCGAGGAAACCAUAAAAACCCUAGAGGAGAUAUGAGGAGGCAAUAAAAACCUAGAGGAGAAUACUCUAGUUGUUUACUUGUGCCAUAUAUUCGUCCAACAUGAGUUAUGAUAGAUAUUUUUUUGCGACCAUGUCUAAACACAUUUUUCAUCAAGAGGGUAGUAAACAUAAGUAUAAAAAGGCAAGUCAUGGCUUACUAGAGAACAUAGGAAAACAACAAAAGAAACAAAUAUCCAAAGCGACUAAUUGACAAAAAUAGGAAUGGUUUCCAUUAUACAUCGAGAAUCGGCAACCAUUAUUACAUACAUCAAAUUCCGCUAUGAUAGAUAUUAUAAAUAUAUAAAAUCGGAACUGGUUUUCAUGAUAAAAAAAUAUAAAAAAUAAUAGUAGGAACCAAUUUCCGUUACUCGAAUGUUAAAAGAAACAACGUAGCAAAUUGCUUUUGUUACGACAUAUAUUGAAACCGACAACCAAAGCCAACUUUUGUCGUGAAAUAUAUAUCGAUCAAAAGUAUACAAAUAUAGAAACCGUCCGUUACGACCUAUAGAAAUGAACAACAUAUGAACAAACUUCCAUUAUGACAUUACUGAACAGACAAUAGAAACCGACUUUUGUUAGGGUUACCAAUUUUGGUAUAUGGGUUUUGUUCGUUGCAAACUUAACAUGCCACUUGUUCUCAUUGCACUUUUUCACCCCGAUUUUGCAUUAAGAAGUGUAUAUAGCUACAACACUAAGAGUUGCUAUAUUUAUGGUAUCUGAAUUUUCAGGCAAGAAUCUUAGACAACUAGCUAGUAUUUAAAAAUGACAACUCAUCACAAGAUAAUUAGAUUUUCUCUAUAGUCAAACAAUGAUAAAAUUAAAUAUUCAGUCUGUUCGAUUGAGCUUAUCUAUUAAAUCUAUCAGUCACUCAAUAAUAUUUUCUCAUAACAAAUCAGCGAACAAUAUUUUUUCAGUCAUGGAUUAUUAGUUAAGCGAACAGGCCAAUCUAAUCUAAUGAACAAUAAAAAGAUUACAUGUUAUCUUAUGGUCACGUGCCAGCAAGGAAGCAUAAGCCACAAUAUUUUGUUUUUAUCAAAAAGGAAAAAUCACGGUAGGUUUGGUGGAGACUGGAGAGUACAGCGGAAGCAUCACGUCUAAUUAAUUUAUAAUUAGAGAAUAAUUAUUAAAUAUAAACGAAAGUGUUACGGUAGUCAAAACUAAAAAAAAUUUCUACAACUGAACAAGGCCGCCUUAGGUCCUCGACUGACAAAGCGACAGCGCAGGAUAUCUUUUUGCUGAUGAUACGGUAUAUCUCUCUCACAUUUCUGAAUUCUAGGCCGCAGUCCACUCUUUUUUUUAAGAUAUAGAGCAACCGUUACUGGACUGACCAGUGUUUUUUUUUUAAAAAAAAGAUCUGUUCAAAGAUGGCUAACCUGUGUUCGUCCGCUUCUGUGCCUUCUGGUCCCUGGCGAGAGCACGCUGGCUGCGGCCUGCGGCCCUGUGGCAGAGGCGCACGCUCCAUGAUCGUCACGGAAGGAAAAUUCCAGCGGCGGCGACGCUCCUCCCUCCUCACUUGUUUACCCAUUACCAUUGCCGCCGGCUGCAUGUGCCGGUGGUGCAUGCAGCGACUGCGACGAUGACCUUCCAUGGUUGGCCUCCUCCUUAGGUUCUUCGAUCUCGUCUCAUGAUCUUGCUGGUGAAUCUUUGGCAAAUUCAUUUCAGACCAUUUAUUAAUUGUGCUCAGAUACGAUUUGCAAUCUCGCAUUGAAUGCAUCCUAUGUGUUUUGGCCGAUAAAUAGCUACCGAUGCCUCUCAGCACAGCAGCAGCUGCAGCAGCAAUCCGGCCAUCCACCGAGGUGAAGAAGGUAUUCCCGGAUCUGGUAGGCGGAGGAGAUCGAAGGAGAUGGCCAUUCUGUGGUGGACGGCGCUCAAGAGGUCCCUGAGCUGCAAGUCCCAGGGCUCCUGCGACGUGAUCAAGCGCGACGACCCCGACUCGCGCGGCGGCAGCGCCAGGGAAUUCAACCACAAGAAGCCGUCGUUCCUGCUGCAGCCGUCGUCGUUGUCGAUGCCGAGGUCCGGGUGCUCGCGCUCCAUCUCCAACCUGCGGGACGUGAUCCACAGCGCCAGGUUCCAGGCGCCACCGGCACCGGCCGCUCGCGCCAAGUGCGACAGCCCGAUGUCGGUGGAGAGCGGCGACGUCCUCAGCGCGGUGACGACGCACGACGUGCUGCUCGCCACCGGGUCCCGGCGCGACGUCCUUGUCGGCGCCGGCGCCGUCGCCUCCCCGGGCCUCGCCGCCUGGGACAUCGGCGCGGUGCCGCCGUUCGCGCACAGCCCGCUCCUGACGCGGUGCGCCACCGGCGCCCGUCUCUCCCAGAGGAAGUCACCGCUCCGCCUCGGAACAGGCGUCUACGGCGACGCCGGGUCGCCCCUUCCCGCCUGGGCCUCCUGCGUCGAGGUCGCCGUCCGGUGCAACCGCUGCGACGGCCUCUUCCCCAACGACAGCGCCCUGGAAUCGCAUCACCUCGUCUACCACGCCGGUAAGCGCCACCGUCAUCCAUAUAUACUUCUCUGAUCAGGAAGGAAUUCAGAGGCGUCGUGUUGCAUUUCAUGUCUGAUGACGGCUCCGGUUCUUGCGUACAGUCUCCGAGGUGGUCGACGGCGAGACGGCGAGCAAGGUGGUGGAGCUCAUAUACAGUGCCGGGUGGCCGAAUCCCGAGGCGGCGCUGGACCGCGUCGAGCGAGUCGUCAAGGUCCACAGCUUGGAGAGGCGGGUGGACCGGUUCAAGGAGUACAUGGAGGAGGUGAAGGGCAGGGCGGCGAAGCUGCCCAACAACAACAAGCACCCCCGCUGCGUCGCCGACGGCAACGAGCUGCUCCAGUUCCAUGGCACCACCGUGUCCUGCUCCCUCGGCGCCGGCGGCUCGCACAGCGUCUGCACGUCCAGCCUCUGCAACGUCUGCCGCAUCAUCCGCCACGGCUUCUCCAGGAACGGCGGCGUCGGCGUGUUCACCACCUCCACGAGCAAGCACGCGCUGGAUUGCCUGCAGGAGACCGGCGCCGCCGGCGGUGGCACUGGCGAGGAUGGGCCGGCCGACGGCGGCGUGAAGCACGCGUUGUUCGUGUGCAGGGUGAUCGCGGGGAGGAUCCACCGCCCGCUGGAGAAGCUGAGGCAGGACGCCGCCGUGCAGCCGGGGUUCGACUCGGUUGCCGGCCAGGUCGGCGGCGAUUCGAGCAUCGAGGAGCUGUACCUGCUCAACCCGAGCGCUCUUCUCCCGUGCUUCGUGGUCAUAUGUAAAGCUUAGAUCUUGCGGCUGGGUAUAGCGAUCAUAUCAUAGAGACAUAGCAAAAGAUUUAGAUCCAUCCUAGUAUAUUUUAUUUUGAUAUGAUUGUCGAUUAAAGUGGUUACAGUAGUUGCAGUUUUGUUCAUUAGUUCGCUGGAGAUCAUGUUUGUCCGCGGUUUGCACGAACAAGCAUGUCCUCUUUUUUCUUUGUAAGCUAUUUCAAUAGAGGUUUAAAAAGCGCGGGAAGUCAUUUAAAAAAAAAGCGCGGGAAGUUCCUACAAAUCGAAAACCGCAAAAGAACCCUAAUAUGCAAACAAAAACGACGUGUUCUCUUUGCUCUUUUUAGCAAUUUUAAUAUCGGCCUACAACCGCAGGAAGAUCAUACAAAUUGAACGCCACAAAAGAACCCUAAAAUACAAACAGAAAGGACAUGCUCUCUUUGUUCUUUUUAGCAAUUUCAAUAUCAGCUUAAAAGCACAGGAAGUUCCUACAAAUUGAAAACUACACAAGAACCCUAACACACAAACAAACAAACAAACAAACAAACAAAAAUAUGUUCUCUUUGCUCUUUUUUAGCAAUUUCAAUACCAGCUUAAAAGUGCGCGAAGUUCUGACAAAUCGAAACCCACAGAAGAACCCUAACAUACAAACAAAAAAAGGCAAGCUCCAUUUUCUGUUCUAUUUGCUCUUUUUAGCAAGUUUGAUAUUGGCUUAAAAGCGUGGUAAGCUCCUACAAAUCGAAAACGACAAAAGAACCCUAACAUACAAACAAAAAAAGGACAUGUUCUAUUUGCUCUUUUUAGCAAGUUCGAUAUUGGCUUAAAAAGUGGGAAGCUCCUAUAAAUUGAAAACGACAAAAGAACCCUAACAUACAAACAAAAAAAGGACAUGUUCUCUUUGCACUUUUUAGCAACUUCAGUAUCGGGCUAUCGGCUCAAAAGCGUGGGAAGCUCCUACAAUUUGAAAACCACAAAAAUACCCUAGCAUACAAGCAGAAAAGGACAUGUUCUUUUUGCUCUUUUUAACAAUUUCAAUAUCGGCUUAAAACCGCAGGAAGUUCCUACAAAUCGAAACCCACAAAAGAACCUCAAAAUACAAACAAAAAAUGCAAGUUCUCUUUGCUCUUUUUAGCAAUUUCAAUAUCGGCUUAAAAGUGCGGGAAGCUCUUACAAAUCGAAAACCACAAAAGAACCCUAACAUACAAACAAAAGGACAUGUUCUCUUUGUGCUUUUUAGUAAUUUCAUUAUCGGCUUAAAAAGUGUGGGGAGUUCCUACAAAUCGAAAAGCACAAAAGAAUCUUAAUAUUAAAUGCAUGGUUUUCCACAAAAUUCAUGUGCUUUAAGAUACACCCAAACAAAAAAAAAGAAUUAUGUUUUAUUUAUUUUCUCAUAUGUUUCUUCAAUAUAGUUUAAAAUGCUAGAGUUCCCAAGCAUUAAAAAAGCUGGAUAAAACUAUAAUCUAACAUCAAAUGAAUGGUUUGAUUUGUUUCCCACCAAUUUCAUGAAUUCGAGACACAAACAAAUACAUCUUUUUCUUUACUUUUUAAAUAUUUUUCUAACAGUUUAAAAUAUGGGAAGUUCCCAUGGUUUGAAAAAAAUAUAUAUACGAACGAUUUCCUGUGAAAGUUUCCUCACUUCAAACAUAUUCGUGUUCUUAAAUUUGACAAUAGCACAAAAGCAUAAGGGCCAUUAGGCCCAGGUAGCUUGCCAUGCUUGAGCCCAAGCCCAACCAUCCAAUCCCGGCCCUGCCUGCCUGCCUCCUCCAGUGCUAUCCUACACUGCUGAAAGCCUGAAGGUGCUCUGUCCUUCAGGCUGCUCCAGGAAUCCAUGGGCAAGGCACUGCGCGACACUAUCCUUCACCACGUCCUCGACGCCGUACCGGAACCUGAACCCAAGAUCCAGCAGCCUCCUCGACGAAACCACCGGCGGCGAGCACGAGGCGUCGUCGUCGAAGUCUCUGCUCAGCCUGCGCCACGACAGUCGCCAUUGCCGACGGUUAGAGACGACGCACACAGCAGCCGAUCAGAAAACGCACCUGAUGAUUGAAGAAGAAAAAAAAGAAAACCACUCGUGCCUGUCGCCAGGCCUGAACGGAGGGUAGCGCGAGGCGAGGAGCCGCGCGAGGUGCGCCGCCGAGUACCCGCCGGCGGCGCACAGGUACCGCCCCUCGGCGCGCGGCGCCUCCAUGAGCAAGACGUGCGCGUCGCACGCGUCCUGGACGUGCGCCAGCGGCACGCACCCGAACCGGGCGUGCACCGAGGCCAGCACCGCGUAGAGCUUCGGGUCACCUGCGCCGCGCCGGCGUUGUGGCGUCGUCAGAACGGCGAGAGCGUCAAGAACAGCGCUGGGGGGCUGCAACCUGUGAUGGAUCUGAUGUGGAGUUACCUGUGAUGGGUGACAGCAGGAGCUGGAUGCUCGUGGGGACGCUUGGCGUCAGGAACGGCCCGGCGACGGUGGGCAGGACGAGGGAGACGAGGUGGACGCCGUUCUCGCGCGCGAACCUGAACGCCGCCUCCUCGGUCAGCCGCUUGGACAGGAUGUAGAUCUGCUACAGAGAGUUCAGAUUUCAGAGAGAGAGCUGAUGAGAGGUCGACGAGGACGAAGCAGAUCACUGUGUGAAGCGAGAAGCUAGUGCACUACGCACCCAGCCGACGGGCUUGGUGCGCCAGACGUCGUCGAGGGAUCUGAGGCAGGACUCGUCGAGGACGGCCUUCCGCCGCCCCUCGGCGUCCGCCGCCGUCAACGUGCUGACGGAGGACGUGAAGACGACCCGGCGCACGGUCCCCGCGCGGACGCAGGAACGGAGCACGUUGAUGGUUCCCCUCGUCGCCGGCUCCAGCACACGUGACCUCACGUGCUCCUCUGAAACAGGCAACAUCACGGGAGGUUAAUUCAAUCCGACAAGUGUUAAGAAAAAAGUAACGUUAUACGUGGUACAUUUCCUGUUUUUAUUGACAUUCAGAAUUGGUUUAGUGACUAAUUUAUCUAUUAAUUUGUGAUGUAUUUUCUAGCUAAAUCAGUUGGACAGUUCAACUCAUUUAGCAGAAAAUCAUAAUACCUAGACUCCACAAAAACAAAUUUCUGCUGCCUCAAUUUAGAAGACAUGGACACAGCCAAAGUGCAAGUUCUUCGACUAGCUUCAUUUACAAAACAGAGUCCGGAUAUCUCAUCAUUUGGCGACUCAUGGUUGGACGGGCCUUUGUCAUCUUUCGCCAACCGACAUCCAUCUUUUCUAUAAUUGUUGUUUUAUUAGACUAUUUUUUUUUAUAGAUUAUCAUUUCACUACACGAUUGCAGAACGACACCGGGACAAUGCCUUAGGCGCUGUUUAGUUCCCUUGUUAAAUUUUAGCUAGCUAAACUUUAGUUACUUUAGUAGCUAAAGUUCCAAACACAUUGACUAAAAGAAGCUAAAAUAGUUUAGCUCCAUUAAUCACCUAAGAGUAGCUAAAAUAAUUUUAACUAGCUAAAAUUUAGCAAAGAGAAACCAAACGGGGCCUUAAUGAUACCAACCUUUUCCCAAGCAUUUGGGAGUUGGGACCACGAUAUCUGAUUAUUUAUCAGACCCAUGGUUUGACAAACUCAAAGAAUCCUUCCUUUAUCAUCUUCAGGGAUGGAGCUCAGUGGUGGCUGGGCUCUGGCCCCUGCUUGUCAGCGAUGAAUUAUAAAGAGCCAUCUAGGUUUAAUGUCCUAGCCUAUCAGUUAGAUAAAAUCUGACACAACAGAACCUAUUUGUCAUGAUGUUUAGCUACCUUCGUGUACGAAGUGAUGCUCAUGUGCGCAACAGUCCUACUAGCUCUUCAUAGGUCUACAUAACCAUAGAGUAAGAAGCCAGCAACAUAUCACCGGUACACACAACACUCAGUUCUCACUUUAGGCCUUGUUUAGAUGUGAAUGUGUUCAUCUCAAUUCAUAUGGGCUAAAGUGGAUUGGAGUGGAAUUAAACUAAGUUCUAUUAUGAUCCAUUCCAAGACAUGAUGCAUCUAAACAAGGUCUUAAGGAACCAUUGAGACACAUACUAAUGCUAGGAAAUCCUUGUUCUAAAUUGCUCUUAUUUUCCAUGAAGACACAGGCUGCAGUGUUUACUAUAGAAAAUUGGACAAUAAUAUUUACUAGUAUACUGCCCGUGCUAACGCUACGGUAAAAUUUGGAGCUAGGUCAACAUUCGGGUAUACACAAAUUAAAAUUGAAAUAUAUGCAAUCUAAACUAACCAAAUUAAUUAAAGAAGAAAAGGCAAAUAUAAUUUUUGUGAUUCGAACUUCUCCGCAUGAGGAACUUAAACACUACACAAUUCAUGCAAAUAUCAUAUUUGACAUUACCUAUUAUGAUGCAUACAUGCCAUGCCUAAAAAAUAUUCUAAAAAACAAAGAUAUAUUGUGAUAUACAUUCAACUUUAUUGAAAAAGGAUUAGAUAAGCCUACAUGAAUAACCUUGAUGUCAAAGUACUGAUUGUCAUCUUAUCUUAAAACAAUAAAAGAUUUCAGAUUACAAUCCAUCUAUCAGAGGCAACUAAACACAAAACCAAAGAUCAUUGCCGAUUCUAUUACACGAUUGCUAAAAUGAAUCACUUAUCAUACUCUAGUGAUCAAUCUAUUAGUCUUCUACACAUGGUAGACAAUGGUUUCUUGGUUAUUGAUAAAAUCCACUACCAAUCCAUGCAUAGGUGAGCUACCCUUGCAGCUUGUCACGACACAGAUGCCAUCCGAACACUGUUGUUAAACACGUGAAACAAAAAGAAGAAAAAAAGCAAGGGAAGUAGAAAGGAAUCUGACUUAACUAAAACAGGGAAGGUAAACUACAGCAGGUUAAAGAGGCUUUGCUAUAUCCUUCAAGUUGGAUUUGGGAGCGAACUGGCCAUCCUUGCAGCUUGUAGAAGGGCAAGAGAAGAUUUUCAAUAAAAAAAGAAAGAAUCCGCUAUAAGAUUUUAGCCAACAGCAUGCGGGCAUCUCAAAUCCUUUUUGUGGGUGGUCAAGGAAAUGCUAACUUUGGGAAUGCGAGAUUUAGAGGCAAAUCAAAGAUUCUAAUGAUCCAAGCAUGCAAUUUUACAAAAGACUAAAAUUUUGGGCAAAAAUAAGUAGAGGUUUUAGGCAAGUAGUACAAGUUAGCAUUACUGAAUUACACAAAAUAGAGGCUACUCGAUACAGUUGGCGUUGAUUUCAUCAGUAUAUAAAGAUGGACAUAUAUCAUUUUCUGAAUUAUGACAAUAGGCAACCUGUUUCAAUGGAUUAGUUCCUUGGGCUAAACAGACAAAGUCCCUGUCCUCCCAUGUGUUUUAAUGAUACUGUAAAAUGCAGAUGAAUGGAUCAAACAUUAGUACAACUUUCAAGAGAUUUUCUUUAACUGUCAUGGUGAAAAGCUCCCCACCUGAAUUUUAUUUCAUUGAUCUGUUUACAAGGAUUUUCAUCGGAUUGUAGCAUACAAAAUUUGUCAUCUUUCUUUUUUCUGUUUCUGGAGUUUUUAAUUUUCCCAUUACAGAAUGAGUUAGUUAUCUACAAAUAUUUAUAUGGCUUCAAACUCGUAACACAUUAAAGAUACAAGUAUUUCCAGUUGAGAAAGCAUAGCUUUGAAAGGUACCAGUGACAUUCAGCAUCUCCCAAGUAAGGCCCAAACUGAUUUGAUAUAAAAAGAAACCCACAUGGUAAGAAAAUAAACCAAACCUGAUCUUUAGAUUGAAGCAACAAAGCAAGCACACCUUGCACUUCUCUAGAAAAAUGAAUGAUUUUUCUUACUAUUGAUGUCAAGAAAACAAAUUGAAACAUGUUGAAACCUUAGUGUUUUUUUUUCAGAAAUCUUACGGUUGGGUCAAGUUAGUCACACUCCCGAGAUAGUCACGCUGUCCGUUGAAAUUAUUGUCUGAUAUCCACUUAGAUACCCGACAAGGGUGGGUAAGAUUAUUAGCUUUCACCUCCGAAGGAAGAGCAAAUUCACGUCGUGCUAUCUUAUUUUUACUAAAUUAUAAUUAUAAGAUUGUCAUGUUCUGUAGUUGGGACAAUGUCGAUUUUAGAUGACCACCGAAGUUGUUACUAAUGUAUCUGCAACUCAAACAUGGAUAGCAUUUUUCAGUUAUGUCAACGUUCGCUGCUGCAGUGAUUGCUAGACCUCACUCACUCGAUGGACUAUAUGGACAAGGAAAUAAUUACACAACGACAGGUAAGUUUUAAAUGAAACUAUGAGGAAUUGCCUACCAACCAAUUUUAUUCAGGUUUGAUAGCUCAAAAUCAACCCCAAUAAAGAAACAAGAAAUGCAACACCAUGCUAAAAGAAAAUGCCUUAAAAACAAUAAAUGGUUGGAAUGACAUGGAAUUUUUUACUGGAAUGCAUACAAAAAACUGACUGAGCCAUGACGUCAACUAUCAUAAUCCAAGUCAGUCAACUAUUGCAGACACUAAGCAUAACCACAAAAAGGCUCGGGCAUCAGGACACGACCUUAUCCCCAACCCCAAACAGCACGACACUCAUCUUCCCCAUUCCUAUCCCCCAAAGUCCUGCCAGGCCUUAGCUGAGACUACCUAAAUUGCUAGACUCUGUGAUGCACUGAACAACCAAGUCUGGACUCUAGAUCUUGGGCAUUUUUGCUUGAUGAGCACCCUCAGACAUGAAUCCUUCACACACUGUAGGUUGAGGCAAACAAGACUAUAAGAGUGCUUUGAGAAGAGGAGGAAGAAGGCAGGGGAAAUAGAACUGUGCAGAGGUAGAAUGGAGAGGGCGAGUAAUUACCAAGCCGAAGGGUAGUAGGCGUGCGAGGCAGGGGCCGCCCAUGCGCCGCGCUCCGCAGUUGCCGCCGGACGUCAGCUUGGCUUGCCGCCGUCAUAGGUUGGGAUUAGGAAGAUUGGCUGAAGGAAGUCGAGUGAGUUUUUUUUGGAAACCCGUGUGCCUACCUGCAUCCUGUGCGCAAGAGCCUCGAAGUCAUCGUCGUCGAUGCCGACCUUGUAGUCGGAGGCGGCGGCGACACCGCAGCUAGGGUUCAGAAGGAGUCCGGUGCCAGAGCGAGUCAGCGCACGCGGAGAUCCCACGCGGCCAGCUAUGGCGCAUCCUACGCGGUGGCCACGGAGCAAGUGGUGGCAAGGCGGUGGCAUAGGAGCAGCAGCAGGACGGCUGGGGACAUGGCGAGGGCCAACGGCCAGGGGUGGAUUAAGGAAACAAUAAAAAUGUUUAUGAUUCAUUCAUUUUUUUCUGAGAAGAAAAGAGCGAUGGGUGCCUAUGGCCCUGUGGGAUUCGAUCCCUGGUUGGUGGCGGCCGAGGGCCUGCGUUGAAGCGCAGGUGCGGGUGCGUUGAAGCCUUGGGAUAACGUUGGCCAUCCGAUCGAGUUGAAGCCUGCGAGGAUGAUUAUGAGCCGCAGAUUUUAAUGAUGUUGAAAUCUUGUGUACAUUUUUCUGACUCUCAGCGGGGGACGUUUUCCUUGGUGGACAUAGGAUAGUUUUGACUGGUCCAUUAUAGUAGAGAUUAGUUGAUUAGCCCUCUUGGUAUUCGGUCACGCUUCGCCGCUGUGUGCGAGAGACUCUUGUUUCCGGCUUAAAUCUAGCAUGUCACUUCAUCCUUUAUCUUCCCGACUACCUCAAUGGCCAAAGCAUUUUUCAUCUAAAAAAAAAUUCUUGUAUUAUGUUCUUCCCAUAACUCCAAUGAAACCAGGAUGGUCGAGGAUCUCAAACUUUUGAUUGGCGAAUUUGACAUGGAACCAUUGUAAUUUUCCCAAGUGGUUCUUGGUGACAACUCAGUUGCAAGCUAAAACUAGAUGAGAUCAUACAAUCUUUUUGCGAUGUGGGAAUGUGCAAAGAUACCUAAAGACCGGCCUCGAUCGAGAUCACAAAGCUACGUACUUGGAUCGAUUGACCUAGAGAGACCAGGUGCUUAGUUCCCCUUUCAUUCUAAAAAAUUCUGAAUUUUGAUCCAUCAUUUUAUAUAAUGGAACUAAACAUCAUGCAUUGUUUUUGGCAAAAUGAUUAUCAUUUUUCAUUUUAAAUUUUGGCCUCAAGAAAUAAAAAAAAGCCCAAAAGAGUCUGAAAAGGCCAUAAUGAGGGCAAUAAAUUUUACAUUUUGAAUAGAACUAAACAUAACUCUGAAAAUUUUAGCAUUUUAUAUUUUAAUUAUUCUAAAAUAGUUGAUAUUUUGCAUUUUGCAUUCCAAGGGAACUAAACAGCUAUGUAUGUUGGUCCAUCCAACCCUUGGCCGCCAUUUGUCCAAAAAUUCAAUGUACCUCGAGCCAUGCUUUGGCAUGAAGCAUGGAAGUUAUUUGACAAGUCUAUCAUGAGAACAAGACAUACGAGGAGAAGAUCACUUGACCUUAUCAGCUUAUCUGCUGGUCAUUUUCCGCGACCAUUUCGACGUACGGUCGAGACCCACAUGCAAGUGACCGAUGACUUCUGGAAGACUCACUAGCAUAUAUCAAAGAUGGAAUGCUUUGGCAAAGAAAACACGUCCUAUAUAUAUCCACAUAUAGGAAUUAUUAAUGUUUUUUUUUGAGAUUUAGGAAUUAUUAGUGUUGGUCCAAUUGACCCAGGGCUUUCCAUUGCCAAAAUUCUCUGCCAAUAUACCAUAGCGUAUUCAGGGUAAAAAUAGGGAGUCGCACACUGAGGCCUUAUAGUUCACACCAAAAACUAAAACCUUUUUAAGAUUCCUCAUCACAUUAAAUUUUGCGACAUAUGCAUAGAGUAUUAAAUACUCCCUCCAUACCCAUAAUUCUUGACGUUUAGGACAUGAUUGUGGUAACCAAGGAGUGAUUAAGUAGAGGUUAGUUUUCCAUGUCUACCCUUAAUAAAUAAGUUUGCGAGUUUUCUCUAUACAUAAAAAUAAACCAGUUCAGCUGGUUAGUGCAUAGACCCUAGAGUAUUGGGUCGCGAGUUCGAGCCCCGGUGGCCACUCAUUUUUUGCCCUGCGGCAGUGGGCGUGCAUGCGAGGCGGCAGGCGCGUUUCCCUGCGGCAGCGGGCGUGCAUGCGAGGCGGCAGGCGCGUUUCCCUGGGCAGCGCAUUGAAUGCUAGCAGCGCAGCAAGUGGUGGACAGCGUGGGUGGGCAGGGGUAAAAAAGUCCAUUAUGAGCCUUAUGUGGUCAGAACGUCAAGCUUUAUGAAAACACUUGAGUGGUCUAAAACGUCAACUAAAACAGGUAUGGAGGGAGUAUAAAUAAAAACAAAAGAUAAUUGCACAAUUUAUUUAUAAAUCACGAGAUGAAUCUUUUGAGCUUAGUUAGUCCAUGAUUGAACAAUAUUUGCCGAAUAAAAACGAAAGUGCUACAAAAUCCGAAACCAAAAUUUUUUUGAACUGAACAAGGCCUCAAAUUUUGGAACCGAUCCAUCAGAACUCGAUGAAAACGAAGCAAACACACAAGAUGCGACCGAUUCUUGUACUGUAUAUUCUUUUUUUACAUGUCAACUUUUUUCUUUGGCAUCUAUGCUUCACAUGUUUGGUUGAUAACUUAAGUCCAUAUCACAAAUGGAUAACUAAAUACUUUCUAUUAUAAAGUAUGGAGUAUUGUGUUUGUCAAAAAAAAGUAUGGAGUACUGGCGAAUGCAUACAAGAGAGUAUGGAUCGGUGGACUAGUAACUACUAACCACACAUUACUGGAAAACUAAAAAAACAGACAUCUGGAGAUCUCUCUUCCACCAACCAACACCCAGCCACCGGUGUGGCGGUGCUGUCUUGUUACUUUAGGUCGUUCAACAAUGACUAAAAACUUUUUAAGAUUCCUCGUCACAUCAAAUCUUGCAGCACCGUACAUGAAAUAUUAAUUAUUAAAUAUAGACGAAAAUAAAAACUAAGAAAUCAUAAAAUGAAUCUUUUAAGUCUAAUUAGUUUAUGAUUAAAUAAUAUUUGUCAAAAUGCUACAGUACCGAAAUGCAAAAAAAUUUCAUAACUGAAAAGGCCUUACUACCUCCGUCACUAAAAAAGUUUAUCGAUCGCAUCUAACUUUGCAUGUUCUUUGAGAACUAUUAGAGAAUCACGAGAUUUCAGAAGUAUUUUCAAAAACUAAUAUACAAACAAAACUUAUACGUUUUCAAACCCAAAUAACUUGAAAAUCAUCGACGUUUGUAGUUUUAAAGAUUUAUUUAAUCAUCAAAUCUUGUUCCUUUUUUAUGGAACAUCAAACCAAGUGUUUUUAUGUGCGGAGGGAGUAGCUAGAUUUUCAAUAAUAGCCGUGUAGGUAACCCGUUGGUGCAUGACUCGGAGCAUGCAUGCAUUUGUGUGGAUCACGCAGAAGGGAGGGAGAGAGAGUGAGCUAUAGCUAGGUGUCGACACAAGUUACAUGCAUGUAUGAUCACAAGUUGACACAUGCAACUCACCAACAAGGCUGUCGUGAUGGGCGGCGGGUGAUGAUACGUGGAGCUCCAUGGAGGCCGCGACGUGGAAGAGCGCCACGCAUCCCGUGACGGCGGCGUCGAAGCUCCCUUCCUCGCCCAUGUCCGCCCGGAACACACGGAGGAGGCGCCGGCGGCACCUGUCCCUCUCCCUCCCUUCUUCCACGGCGCCGAGCACCUGCCAGGCCUUGCCUGCAUGCAGCAUGCAUGCCAACCACCACCACCACCAUGGUCAGCUAGCUCAGCAGUCAAGAACACCGUACCUCACUAACUACACAAGCAAGGAAGGACACCAGCAUGCAUCCAUGACGGUGGCGUGUACAUGGAUAUAUAUAUAUAUACCUGUGUCCCUGGCGGUGGCGUGGACGCGGUAGCCUCGGCGCAGCAGGGUGCGGACGAGCCAGGAGCCGACGUAGCCCGUGGACCCCGUGACGCAGACCGCCGGCGGCGGAGGGUCGUCACCGCCAAUACCCGCGGUCUGCUGCUCCUCCUCCGGCGAGCCGCCGCCGACGCUGCCCAUAAUGGCACUACUGGCUAGCUGAUGCCUGGAGCAAGUAUAUGGUAGGAAGUGGAUCGGAUCGGAGGCGCUCUCUGGUCGUCUAUAAAUGGCGAAACCUUUGUGCGAGUUGUCGUUGUAGAGAAGUCCUAUCAUCAGUACUAUGUGCAAAGUUUACGUGUAUGUUGGGGAACACACGUACAGCAGCUGGCAGGCAGCCGGCUGUUACCAUGCCAUUUUCAAUUGACGCGAACAGCAGCACUAUAUGUGGUGGUUUUACAGGGACCAUGUACUGAUGUACCUACGUACGAUACUGAUCGAUCGGAUCCAUCCAUUUUUAUAUAUAUAGUAGUAGUAUAAGUAUAUGCAGUGAGCAGACGACGACAAGUCAAUGAUAUCAGGCAUAUGAUGAGUGAUGAGUCCUUUUUUUUUUCUUUCUGCGAAUAGUGAUGAGUCCAUUCUUCAUCGCCCCCGGUACGUCCGUAUCGCAGAGCACCGAAACUGAGUCCACGCGCACACAGAUGCCGGAGUGCCAGCUAGCUAGGUUCAUCGCAGCACACCGUUUGUUUACAGUCGUGCAGAGUUUAUCUUGGCACACAUCGAAGACGACGACGAGGCCCUCUCUUUUUUCUAUCGUGCGCUCACCUGGGUAUGGGUGCAAUCCACGUGCAGGCGGCCGGACCAGCCAGCUCUUACGAUAUAUUGCCUCUCCCUCUCACAAAUUAAAGUCGAUCGAUCAUCACGAGCGAGCACGGCGCCGCACCAUGCAUGCAUCCUCUCGCCGUCGCCGGCAGGCAAUCGCCAGCAGGGGCGGCCGUCGAGCGAAGCCGGCCGAGACCGCGCCGCGAUGCCUCUCGAUCCAUCGGCGCACCGCCACUCGUGUCUUCCCGAUCCAUCGAUCGAGCGUCGGCACAGUGCCGCCGGCGCCCGGCAGGUACAGUGUACUACGUAAUUAACGUACGGGCUGAUGACGCCGACGCCAAGAAAUAAUAAAAAGCACGUACUCCUAGCUCUUUUGUGUGCUGGUACUACGUACGUGGUGACGUGGACGUCGUCCGAUCCAGCUAGCACGCUUGCACUGCACAUAUAUAGACACGUAUGUAUCGUAUUCGUCCAGUUUUUUUUUCCUUCUGUUCUCUCUCUCGAGUCUCGGCGGCUCAGGCGGGUGCAGACGUGCUUACGUGUACGUGGUUGGAUUCCACGUACGGUCGUCGCCGGCGUGUCCCCUGGAGAAAAUUUUGUUGUUUCUCGGCACGUGCACGCGAGCGAUUCUACCUACGGCAGGCCGCCGGCGGCUUGCAUUAUUAGCUGGUGGAACACUACUUCCUGGUCGGCCACGGAGUAGGAGUACUCGCUAGGCGAGAGAGUAGUGACGCCUGCUAUAAAUACCACUACUGUCAGUUUAGACUUUCAGAUAAAUUUCCACUCGGCGAUCUCCUCUCGUUCACUUCGCUAAUAAGCCAUAAUAGAGUACUGUUUACUGAUUUAUUGUGGAAAAAAAACACUAUAAAUAUACUACGUCUAAAUAUCAAAUAAAAAUGAUCCUCCCCUCUAUCUGCAAAGAUGCAAUCCUGAGUUCUUCAUCGCGUGUCCAAGCAAAACAUAAUAAUUUCAGAGUACUGAGGCUACUCUCCGAAGUACCAGAGACAGCUUGGGCCGGGAUGCAGAGAGUUAUGCAAGCAUGCAGUAGAUUCCCAGGCUCCCGAUAGUGAUUUAACUAAAGGGCACAUAGGAACACAUGCGUCUUUUACCAUACUGCUUUUUCCUUGACAUCUAAGAGUUGCUUUCUUUAUCUAAAAAAAAUGCUAAAACGUCUUGAAUUUUGAUAUGGUUGGAGUAGUCCCAUAUAUUCAUCAUCGAAAAGUAAUGGAAAUUGACUGAAUUGGUACUGAGGUGGUUUGACUAAAAAAUACAAAAAUAUUGUAUACGUACUCAUCGUCUAGCUAAAUACUCUCUCCAUCUCAAAUUGUAAGUUAUUCCAAAAAUCUUGGAGAGUCAAACUUUUGUAAGUUUGACCAAAUUUAUAUGAUAAAAUAAUUAUUAUUAUAAUACUAACUAAGUAUCAUUAUAUUCUUCCUUAAUUAUAUUUUCAUAGUAUACUCACUUUAUGUUACAAAUUUUAGUAUUUUUCUCUAUAUUUUUGGUUAUACGUGAAAAUGCUUUGACUCUCCAAGAUUCUUGGAAUGACUUACAAUUUGAGAUGGAGGAAGUAGAUUGGAUGGAAUGCAUGAUCAAUACAACUACUAGAAAAACGUUGAUCAAAUCUGUCCCGACAUAGCAAAAACAUGCAAAGUCAUUUGUAACCUGUUAGCCCUAAUAAAUUUUAGCAUCAAUUUGGAUAUUUAGAUUUGUAUAAACUUUAAUAUGGACUAAAGAAAUUCUAGUAAAACAUCAACACGUGCAAGAACAAUUAUCUUAAUAGUAUGAUACUCUUUUAAAAUUUAGCAUGAAUCCUGAAGAAGCCACUUCAUUAAUCAAUUCAAGCAAUAUUCAUUUGACUCAUGCGUUAGAUCUAGGGAUAAGGUCCAAUAUUUACAUAUGGUUUAGCGUCAAUAUGGAUAUCUAUAUUUGAACAAUUUAAUCUGAACCAGAAAAAAUCUAGUACAACAACCACCACCACAACGGAACUAGAUGCAUAUUUUGGGAAGUGAGCAAAGAUUAGGCAGCAAGAACUAUUGGCAGAGGAAUGAUUGAUUAAGGUAUAUGAAUACAACAAGAACACCACCAACAACAAUAAUAAUGAUGGCACAAUACUCCUUUUUUCAAAUGGUAGUAGGAAUCAUGAAGAAGCCACUUCAUUAAUCAAUUCAAUUCCAUUCACUAGAUGAGAUAACCCAAGAGUCAAAUGGAUACCAACUGAAUUGGUUAAUAUUGUUGUUGGUUUUAUGCUAAAUUUUAAGAGAGGAGUAUUGUGUCAUCAUUAUCAUUAUUGUUGUUGGUAUUGUUGUUUUAGUAGAAAUCCUCUAGUCCACAUUAAAAUUGAAAGAAAUACAAAUAUCCAUAUCAAACAUAUAACCAUUUAGAUCCAUCCCUAGAUCUAACCCAUGAGUCAAAUGAGUAUUAAUUAACUGAAUUUAUUAAUGAAGUGACUUCUUUAGGAUUGAUGUUAAAAUUUUUAAAGAGAAGUAUUGUGCUAUCAUUAUCAUUAUAUUUGUUGUUGUUGUUUUGCUAGAAUUCCUUUGGUUUAUUUAAAAUUGGUAUGAAUAAGAAUAUCUAUAUUAACUCAAUGACAUAAAAAAAUAUCAAAUCUUUCGGAUGUUUAGACAUCAGGAUUCACCCUACAUUUGACCUAUGAGUCAAAUGAGUUGAAUAAAUAGUGGAUUUUUUAGGACUCAUGAUAAUUUUAGAGUAUUGUGCUAUCAUUAUCAUUAUCGUUGUUGUUUGACUAGAAUUCCUCUGGUCCAUAAUAAAAUUAAUAUGAAGAUAUUCAUACUGACACUAAACAAAUAUGAAUAUUGGAUCUUUCCAAUGUUUAAACAUGCGGAUCCAUCUCUAGAUCUAACCCAUGGGUCAAAUGAAUAUUAAUUGAAGCGAUUAAUGAAGUGGCAUCUUUAGAACUCAUGCUAUUUUUUUAGAGAAAAGUACCGUGCCAUCCAUUAUUAUUGUUGUUGGUGGUGUUGUAGCUGUAGAAUUGCUCUACUCCAUAUAUUCAAAAUCUAUAAUAAUUACUGAGAUGCAUGUAUGAUUACAAUAAUAAAUACACAUAGAUUUACUUUGUAAAAGAAAAAUCUUAUGGAUCCUGCAUCUAUCACAUAGUGCUUGAUGGUGGAGUAUAUAAUAAGAAUAGAGGCGUGAUAUUAUAUGAACAAGUUAAACCUAUACUUUAAUCAAUCAUUUUUUUUUCUGCCAAUAGUUUUUGCUGCCUAAUCUUUGCUUACUUCCCAUAAUCAGCAUCGAGUUCCAUUGCUAACACUACCACAUCACUUGAAGCUACAAUGGUGAGAGCUGCUGAGGUCGCAACGACCAUGGCGGCGACGCUAGUCGUCGUGGGCAUGGCGCUGUCCAUUGCGCCGGUGGCAAGCGCCAUCGACUACACCGAGCGGGACCUGGCGUCGGAGGAGUCGUUGUGGGCCCUAUACGAGCGCUGGUGCGCGCAUUACAACAUGGCGCGCGACCACGGCGAGAAGACCCGGCGGUUCGACCUGUUCAAGGAGAACGCGCGCCGCAUCUACGAGCACAACCACCAAGGCAACGCGACGUACACGCUGGGCCUCAACCGCUUCAGCGACAUGACCGACGAGGAGUUCAACCGCUCCCCAUACGGAGGUUGCUUGACUGCUCCCCGCAUGUCCGACGACGAGAUCGAGGAGCUCCACCACCACCACCACCAGCAGGAGGACGACGGGUCGUUCAACCUCACGCACGGCAGCGGCGGCGGCAAGCUCGGCGCCCCGCCGGCAGUGGACUGGCGUGGGAGGGCGGUGACGCGCGUGAAGGACCAGGGGCCGACGUGCGGGAGCUGCUGGGCGUUCUCGGCGAUCGCGGCGGUGGAGGGCAUCAACGCCAUCCGGACAAGGAACCUGGUGCCGCUGUCGGAGCAGCAGCUGGUGGACUGCGACAAGUUGAACCACGGCUGCAACGGCGGCUUGAUGACCACGGCCUUCAGCUUCGUCGUGAGAAACCGCGGCGUCGUGCCGGAGGGCGCGUACCCGUACAUGGGCAGGGAGGGGCGGUGCAAGCACGUCAUGGCCCCGCCGGUGACCAUCUACGGGUACCAGCGAGUGCCGCGGUUCGACGCGAACGCGCUGAUGAACGCGGUCGCGGCGCAGCCUGUGUCCGUGGCGAUCGAGGCCAGCUCCUUCGAGUUCCGACACUACCAAGGGGGCGUCUUCAACGGGAACUGCGGGGGCAGGCUGGGUCACGCGGCGACGGCGGUGGGGUACGGCGCCGACGCCGGCGGCCCGUUCUGGAUCGUCAAGAAUUCGUGGGGUCCUGGGUGGGGCGAGGGUGGGUACGUGCGCAUCAGCCGCAACACGCCCGUCAGGCAGGGGGUCUGCGGCAUCCUCACAGAAAAUUCAUACCCUGUGAAGCGUUAGGCAAACUUGCCGAUUUCGGUAGCUGUUCCGGUUUUGUUCGCUGGAAAUAAAAAGUUUUGGUAUCGGAUGAUACAAGUGAACCGUUUUCCAUUAAAUUAGACUAAAAAAACCAAUUACACAUAUUACGACUAUUUUAUUAAACAAAUCUUUAAGACUAAUUAGUCCAUGAUUCUAUAAUAAUGCUACAAUAAAUAUGUGAUAAUGAUACUACUCUCUGGCCUUGUUCACUUCACGAAAUUUUUUGGUUUUUGCUAUUAUAGCAUUUUCGUUUGUAUAUGAUAAUUAUUAUCAAAUUACGGAGUCACUAGAUUUAAAAGAUUCGUCUCGCAAAUUACAGAUAAACUGUACAAUUAGUUUUUAUUUUCGUCUAUAUUUAAUGUUAUAAAAUUCGAUGUAAUUAGAGAAUCUUAAAAAAAUUUUAAAACUAAACAAGGCCUCUAUCUCGUUCUCCACAUAUCCGAGGCCCACAUGUAUCAUUUAUUACUCGCCUCACCUUCCCACCGUUUGCCUGUCUUUGCCUCUUUCGCGCUCGACGGCGGCGCUGCUACUGCUGCUGUCGCUGGCGGCGGCGUUCAUGUCGAUCAUGUCGUACUGAGAGAGGAGCGAGGAGGAGGACACCCACCGUGCGUUCGUGGAGUGGGUGGCCAAGUGCAACAAGACCUACAACUCCACCGGCGAGGAGGAGCACGGGUAAGCGGUGUUCAAGGAAAACUUCCGCCGCUGCGGCCCCGUCCUCAACAUUUUCGGAGACUGGGGACCGACGAGGAGCUUAACGCAUGGCAAUCCGGGGAAGUACCCUCCGAAAACGACAGAUUAGCUGAGCAGCGGCGAAUUUUUUUUUUAUUUUUAGCCCAUUUUUAAAUCAAAUUUCAAUUUUAGACCGCUUUUGAAAAAAAUUCAAAACUAGGCCGUUUGGCCCCGCCACCAUGCAUGGCGGGGCAAAACCACUACACCCCGCCAUGCAUGGUGGCGGGGUUGAAGCGCCACGUGGCGCACGGAUGGGCGGGGCCGGCUGACGUGGACCCCGCCACCGUCCACGGCGGGUUACGGGGACCCCGCCACCGAUCAUGGCGGGUUGCAACCCCGCCGCGCAUCAUGGCGGGGUACGCCCGCGCCCUAUUUAGUCGGCCCAACGGCAUUCUCUUCUCAUUUCUCUCCCUCUCUCACCCCGAGUGUCUCUCUUUCUCUCCCUCUCUCACACCCGAGCUCCGCUCUUCUCCGGUGCCCCUCCGCGUCGUCCUUCACCUCCAUUGCCCCGCCUCGGCGCCCCUCUCCGCUGCGUAUUCCCCGCCUCGUCGUUCUUCACGGUUGUUUUUCCGGCCACCCCUCGUUUGGAUAAGAUAAAUUUCUUACAACCUUUACGUUUUCAUAGUUUAGAUAAGUUCAUUUGGUUAUUUUUAAUAUGUUUAGUAAAUCUCUUGUUACGUUACUUUGUUUAGUUAUGUGAUUUGUGUUGAAUUAUUUUCGCGUUUUUAGAUGGAGGACUCGUAUCGUGAGUCUAUUUGGCGAAAAAGGGUCGUCCUAGAGAGUUGUACCCCGAUGUGUCUUGCAAGGAUGCCCCCGUGCCUCCCGAGGAACCUAUUCCUAACUGUGAUUGUGGGCAUCCAGCACACGUGAGCCAGUUGAGACAUCCGGAUACUGCGGCACGUUGCUUCUAUACUUGUUAUAGUUAUAGCGUAAGUCACUGUGCCCUUUGAUUUUCGUAUUGGUUUUUUAUCUUUUUAUUCCCAAUGAGACAAUUGAAACUCUUUUGUAGCCCUACUUCCGGUGCUUUUUCUUCCAAUGGAUCGACGGGCCGGACAAGUUUGACCCAAGAAUUCUGCUUUUCUACCCCGGCGUUGAUCAUUGCAAACGUGAGUUGUUUACUCGCUGGGUUCCGCCCCCCCCUAACCCUCCUCCUAUGACGGAGGAAGAGAAGGCCGUCGCCUCUGCACGGCGGCUCGAGGAUCCUCCAAAGUGUCAUUGCGGAGAACAAGCCGUGAUAAAUCCACGGAAUGAACUAGAGUUCGUUUGUCCUCUGCGGCGUGAAGUAAGUUUUGAUUCAAUCUUAAAAUUUUAGUUGAUAUAUGUGUGUUCUAAUGUGUUCUUUUUGUAGGAUCGUGGUUUUCGAAAGUGCCGUUUCGCGGAGUGGAUCUAUGGUCCAAAGAGCCAUUGGCCAGAGCCUGAGAAGCAGGAGGAGGUUCCAGAGUGGAAGAAGAAGCGGAGGUCUAUUGCGCCUCCCGUGAUGUGCAAAUGUGGUGUUGAAGCUAGCUACAGCCUAAUUCCUUCAGGUCUUGGGAUUGGCCAUUUCUGUGGCCACAUGAUCGACUAUGAUGAGGUUUGCUAGGACUGUGCACAUUUAGUACUACUAUACUCAUAUAUUUGUUUUUGUACGCUAACUUUGUAUUCAUAUAUUUCCCGUAACAGAGCACUCAGAAAUGCAAAUGGGAAUCAUCUGAUGAUGUGUUUAAGUUCAAAGAUGACUAUAAGGCAAGAGUAGCAGUUCGCAAGACGAGAGGUUAUCCUGCAAACUACGUCACUGAUUUUGUGAAGGACCAUAAGAAGAAAAUGCUUGCAUUCGCCCAGGAGUUGCGUGUUCGUAACCCUGCGAGUAUUGCAUGGAAGAAGUGGUCCGAGGAGAGGGAAAAGGAGAUAGAGGAGUACCGUGCAAGGAAGGCUGAAGAGGAUGCAAGGAAGGCUGCGGAGGAGGCUGAGAGAGCUGAGAUGCAAUGCUUGAACGAUACUAUUGCCUCAUUAUGUGCUAGUGAGUCAUUUAAUUUUUGAAAGUGAAACUGUUAGUUUCUCUGAAAUGACUAUGUUAUUAAUUCUUUAAAUUUUGUACUUACAGAGAUUGGAUGCACCGGAAACUGGCAAGCAGAUGUGGGCCGUGCUAAGUACGCGGAGAAUAUGAUAUUAGGGCGGGACGCUGCAGUUGGUGGCACCGCUAGCCGUCCGAUUGUGGUCGAAGAGGAGGACGAGGCGGAGGAAGACGACGACACCGGAAGGAUAGGCGACCUCAUUCGUCUUGCCGAGGAAUUGGGGUACCCUCAGGACGAGCAUGACUAUGAAAUGGGAAGGAUAGGCGACCUACUUCGUCUUGCAGAGGAGGGUGAGGCGUCAGGACCGAUGCCUGUCGGUGCCUUAGAGGAGGAUGAGGCUGCAUACCACAACCAGAAGACAUCGGUCUAUGACUCAUGGUGGCCAACAGACAUGACCGAGGAAGAGGGACAGUUAUACUCUCAGGCGGCAGAAGAGGCGGAGGCAGCUUACUACGAGAGACAGGCUAGUGAGGCCAAGGCAGCGGAGGCGAGCAUGGGUAAGGAGGUUGUAGUGGACGAUUGGGAGUCCGAGGACGAGUUGCUUACGCAGUGGUGCACGCAGUUUGAUUGAUGUGGUAAUGUAUGUGAGUGGCUUAGGAAUGAGACUUUUGUACUUUGAAACUUGUCAUGUAAUAAUUUGUAUUCCGACGUAUUUCAAUUUGAUCACUCCUCGCCAAAGUCCACAGCUGUCAGAAUGUUUAACUAACAUAACAAUUUAAAAAGAUUUUGUAAUAUGUUUAACUAAUAUAACAUUUAAAAGUUUUGUUUCUUGCAUGUUUACUAGUUUUUUGUGUAAUAUUUAAAAAGAAAUAGAGGAAGUCACUUUGAGUAGUGCUAUGAAAGGUACAGGGGGUUGUGGCCAUUUUUUGGCUACCCCGCCAUGGGCCAUGGCGGGGUACCCCUAACCCGCCCCCAGCCAUGGCGGGGUAGCGAAAAAAUGGCAAGACCCUUUGCUGCACUGCCUUUGUUUGGUUUUUGGUUAACCGAUUGUUCGGGUUCGCAGCUGGUUUGGCAAGACAGAGAUUUUUACGUAAAUACCAAAGAUACUUUAGAACGAACAACUAAAAUAAUUCUCACUAAUGCUUAAAAAAGGCACAUCAAAUAUCUAGAAAUAUGUCACAGUUACCAACGUGCUGGAAAUAACAAUAUGUCACAGGUACUACAUGACAAGUCCCAACUGCUAAACAUGUCUAAUCUAAUCAUCGCCAGGGGUGUAGCGGUUUCGCGGCUUCCGUCGCCUCCUAGGAUUGGUAGGCACCACGUUGCUUGUCCACCCCACGUCCGUGCGGUCUCGCCGCUGCCUCUCUCGCUGCCGCCUAUGGACACGGUCCAUCUCCUGUGUGGACGAAGUACCCUGCAAACAAGUACCCUAAUGAGUAAUUUGCAAAUAUAGAAAAGUAAAAGCACAGUAUAGGCACCUGGUGCUCGACGUGUCUGUACUCCUCCUGUGUGUACUCCACCCCCUGUGUGUACUCCUCCGGUGUGUACUCCACGCCCUGUGUACCAAUAGGAGCACCGCCUAGCUGUGAGGUACCCAUCUCCUCGUGACCGGUGAACUCCCACUGUAACUCGUCGUCGUCGCCACUAGUCGUGGAGUACUGAAGGGCCUCGUCCUCAUCGUCCACGUCCGCUGGACCCUUCCCUGUGUACUGCGGAGUACGUACAGAGGAGGAAGCGGCCCUAGCCGAAGUAGCUCUGGUGGACAUCGAGGCCGUCUGGCUCCUAGACAACAUGGGGUGCAACGGAGGCUCAUAUGUCGUGUCUGCACAGCUCAGCUUAGCCGCUAACUUCUUGCAGCCCUUUUUGAUUUUCUGCAGGAUAAAAUGACAACAUGCAUUAUUCAUUUGUAAUUGCUUUGUAAUAAUGAAUUAUUUUUUCGAAAGUACCUUGACAAAGCUGCGAAGAGGGUUGCUCUUGUCGUCUCUAGUCCGGAACUGUUGCCUACUAGCUUCCUCGGAGUAGUUAGACAACUGUUGUGACUACAACAUCACACACAAUAUUAACUCGAUCAUUUGGACAACUGUUGUGCCAUAAACAUCAAAUAAUACAUGAAAGUCCAAGGUACUUACCACAUAUCUAUUUAAGGGGGCCCUAAGAACCUGUUUGUUAACCCUUUGCACCUCGUCGAACGCAUCGGCGAUGUCAUCCUCACCACCCUCAUAUGCAGGGGUGUUGUAAGUGCAUUAAGCCACUUAAUGUGUUUUGGAUGAUUGAAUGACAACCAUGACUAAAGGAACUAAUGAUCUUGCUAAGUGUGAAACAGGGAAANNNNNNNNNNNNNNNNNNNNNNNNNNNNNNNNNNNNNNNNNNNNNNNNNNNNNNNNNNNNNNNNNNNNNNNNNNNNNNNNNNNNNNNNNNNNNNNNNNNNUUUGUGUAAUAUUUAAAAAGAAAUAGAGGAAGUCACUUUGAGUAGUGCUAUGAAAGGUACAGGGGGUUGUGGCCAUUUUUUGGCUAACCCGCCCCCAGCCAUGGCGGGGUAGCGAAAAAAUGGCAAGACCCUUUGCUGCACUGCCUUUGUUUGGUUUUUGGUUAACCGAUUGUUCGGGUUCGCAGCUGGUUUGGCAAGACAGAGAUUUUUACGUAAAUACCAAAGAUACUUUAGAACGAACAACUAAAAUAAUUCUCACUAAUGCUUAAAAAAGGCACAUCAAAUAUCUAGAAAUAUGUCACAGUUACCAACGUGCUGGAAAUAACAAUAUGUCACAGGUACUACAUGACAAGUCCCAACUGCUAAACAUGUCUAAUCUAAUCAUCGCCAGGGGUGUAGCGGUUUCGCGGCUUCCGUCGCCUCCUAGGAUUGGUAGGCACCACGUUGCUUGUCCACCCCACGUCCGUGCGGUCUCGCCGCUGCCUCUCUCGCUGCCGCCUAUGGACACGGUCCAUCUCCUGUGUGGACGAAGUACCCUGCAAACAAGUACCCUAAUGAGUAAUUUGCAAAUAUAGAAAAGUAAAAGCACAGUAUAGGCACCUGGUGCUCGACGUGUCUGUACUCCUCCUGUGUGUACUCCACCCCCUGUGUGUACUCCUCCGGUGUGUACUCCACGCCCUGUGUACCAAUAGGAGCACCGCCUAGCUGUGAGGUACCCAUCUCCUCGUGACCGGUGAACUCCCACUGUAACUCGUCGUCGUCGCCACUAGUCGUGGAGUACUGAAGGGCCUCGUCCUCAUCGUCCACGUCCGCUGGACCCUUCCCUGUGUACUGCGGAGUACGUACAGAGGAGGAAGCGGCCCUAGCCGAAGUAGCUCUGGUGGACAUCGAGGCCGUCUGGCUCCUAGACAACAUGGGGUGCAACGGAGGCUCAUAUGUCGUGUCUGCACAGCUCAGCUUAGCCGCUAACUUCUUGCAGCCCUUUUUGAUUUUCUGCAGGAUAAAAUGACAACAUGCAUUAUUCAUUUGUAAUUGCUUUGUAAUAAUGAAUUAUUUUUUCGAAAGUACCUUGACAAAGCUGCGAAGAGGGUUGCUCUUGUCGUCUCUAGUCCGGAACUGUUGCCUACUAGCUUCCUCGGAGUAGUUAGACAACUGUUGUGACUACAACAUCACACACAAUAUUAACUCGAUCAUUUGGACAACUGUUGUGCCAUAAACAUCAAAUAAUACAUGAAAGUCCAAGGUACUUACCACAUAUCUAUUUAAGGGGGCCCUAAGAACCUGUUUGUUAACCCUUUGCACCUCGUCGAACGCAUCGGCGAUGUCAUCCUCACCACCCUCAUAUGCAGGGGUGUUGUAAGUGCAUUAAGCCACUUAAUGUGUUUUGGAUGAUUGAAUGACAACCAUGACUAAAGGAACUAAUGAUCUUGCUAAGUGUGAAACAGGGAAAAGCUAUCUCACAGUUAUGUGAUUCAAGUUUACAAAAGUCAAAAUUAUGUAUUGUUGUAUGAAGCAAUCUAGUUCAAGCACAAAACAACAAUGCAAAUGGAAUUAUUGAAAGAGGCUUAUUUAUCACUCAUAUGAAAGCAAAAAUGAAAAGUAUAAAAUUGAUUGGAUGAUUCAAAGCACAAUAUGACUCGAAGACUUGAGAUGGUGAAGAUAGCAAGGAAAGGCUUCGAGGUACUAAGCAAGGGUGAAGGGCAAGCGACGGCUUGACGACCGAAAAAAAACUUAGCUCGGGUGAAGAAGGAAUUACUUGCAUUUAGUUGAGGUACUAAUCAAGCUCUAAGGGUCAUGUUGAUGUGGAGGAUCAAAUCUACUAUUGAAGUAGUUAAUGGAAAUGACUUGGUACAUUUGGAGUCAAAUCUAUCUAUUGAAUGGAACCAAGUCAUGUGCUCAAGAUGGCUGUGCUCAAGAUGAAAACAAGUUUGACAUGAUGACAUCCUCAGCUUAUCAAGAAUUGAAAGAAAGGCUUUGGUUUGGUGGAAGCUUCUCAAGUGGUUUAAAUUUGAUUUAUCUUUUGUUCUUGAGUUGAUAGGAAAGCCGUACUAUUAAGAGGGAUGCAUCAUGAACAUGGAUUAAUACUCUCUAGUGCUCAAGUCAACCCUUGUGAGGCCUUAGAGGAACUAACCUGAGAGCUGAACUCUUUGUGCACAGGCCGUGCAUACCGGACGUGUCCGGUAUGAUACCGGACGCGUCCGGUAUGAGUACUGUUGCGCAUACUAACGUUUUGAGUUGCGGUGACCAGGGAGUUGUUCUGGAAGCGUGUCAGCACUUCCGGUGCGCGUCAGUAGUGCUGACUUGUCGGAAGUUCCAACGUACGUCGGGAGUUCCGACGUAGGCUUCUCUGUGGUUGGGAGUAGCAAGCUAACAGGGGUAAGUUUGUUGGCCUUGUUCAUAUCGGACGUGUCCGGUAUGAUACCGGACGCGUCCGGUAUGGCCAACGGCUAGUUAACGGCUAGUUUUGAAAAUUGUCUUUAUAUACCCCUCAGCCCUCUUCUUUUAGGGCUGCUGAUUCUACUGGCUUGGAGACACAUUGCUGAGCUUUGCUAACUCUCCACAACCCUCUCUUUGUGAGUGUUUGGUCUAGAUUGACAAAUCCAUCUUGUGGGUUGAAAGAUCUUCGGUUUUGAGAGCAAGCCACCACUUGAGCACUUGAGCAUAUUGUCUAUCUCGUGAUUUGCAUUUGUUACUCUUGGACUCUUCGGUCCUAGACGGUUAGGCAUCGCCGGAGAGCACCCAAGUGUUUGUGGUUGCCUCGGAUUGUUUGUGCAGGUCGGAUUUCACCUCCGCAAGGGAAGAAAUCAACUAGUGGAAGGAGGAGUUGGAGUUGGAAGAGACUCCGGCUAGAGUUACCUUCGCGGUAUCCUCUAGGGAGGACCUUUGAGCUAGAGUGACCUUAGUGGUAUCCUCUAGGUCAUCGAGUGCCUUACCCGUAGCCCCCUCAACGGAGAUUAGGUCUCUACGGAGACCGAACUUCGGUAAAACAAAUUUUGUGUCUCCCUUUGCAUUACAUUUAAAAUUUGUGUCUUAUUCUUUGUGUGAGCUUCUCUGCAGGGUUCAAGUUUCAUAUAUACUGUGAUUGAGGUUUUUGCAGGGAAAGGAAGAAGUUUCACAGCACAAGGAUUGAAUAUCCUCUGCUCGUGAAUUCCGGACGCGUCCAAGAUUAAGCCGGACGUGUCCGAGUUGUGCCAGCACAGCAGAAUAUAUUUAAUUUGUAUUAUCUGUGUUGGAUACCUUCUUGUAGGGUAUUGUAUAUCUUUACUCCAUCAUACAAGCUGUGUGUAGGUUUAGGAGAAGCUGGAGAACAGAAACAGCCAGGUGCUGUGUGCUCGUGUAUCUCGGACGUGUCCGAGUUGAUAUCGGACGCGUCCGGUAUUUGCGAGUUGUCAAUAAUAUUUCUUUGUGUGAUCUAAUCUCUGUGGUGCAGGUUUUAGACUUAGUUAAUAUUGUAUACAACUGGUUCUCUGAUUAUCUUUGUGUGGAGUCUUUCAUUUGCGUGGAAAACUCCAGUUCUAAUUGUUUCCGCAUUAUAAGUUGUAAAUUUUCAGAAACGCUUAUUCACCCCCCCCUCUAGGCGCAUCCUUGGUCCUUUCAAUUGGUAUCAGAGCAAGGUCUCACGAUCGAGCUUCACCGCUUGUGAGAAAAGGAUGUUGACGCCUAAUAACAUGGAUCCCAUACUUCUCCAAAAUGAUGGUUCAAACUUUCUAUCUUGGUCAAUUCAUGUACUCAAUACUUUUCGGACUAUCAGUCCACUUGUAGAGCAGAUUGUGGAUGCAAGUAUAUCUCAUUCCAUAGUCGAUUGGUUUAGUUAUAAGAAUAUUCCAAAAGAGGAAGAGAUAUAUGUGCAACUCAAUGCUCUAGCUACUAAUGUCAUUUUGAGUACAUUAAGUGUAGAGGUUCAGGAUGAAGCAAUUUUCAAUGGACAAACUCUUCCGUCAAGUGCUCAUGUCAUUUGGAUCAAGUUGUAUGAGUUAUAUGGAAAACCCAAUGACAAUGAGUGCUAUGUGUGGAAAAUAAAGGAUAGUAUGUCCACUAUACCUCACUGCAAUGAAGAAACAUCCAGCAACCUCAAGAAUGCAGAGCCGAAGCUGAUCAAUGCAAAUGCCGCAGUGCUAGCAGUGCAGCACAUACCGGACGUGUCCGAUAUGAUACCGUACGUGUCCGGUAUGGUUGUGGCAGCAGGACAGCAAGCAGAUCAAUGCAGCAAUAAUGCGCCUCAGUGGAGACCAAGUGAUGAGUCAACAAUAGAAUCCCAUGACUCUCAUCACUUGUGUCUCAUGGCCAAGAAGAGCAAGAAGAAGAAGAAGAAGAAACCAAGCAAAAGAAGGCUCAAGAGGAUGAUCAAAGAGAAAGUGAAAAUGAAGAUAGUCACAUGCUUGAUCAUCUUAGCAGCAAGGACAAGCUCAUGUUCAUGAAACUGAUAAAUGAGGAACAAGAUCAAAAAUUUCAUGAUCAAGACAAGUCCCUCAUAUCCAAGCUUGAAGAGCUAAAGGAAAUGAAUGAGAGGUAUGAAAAAUUGUCAAUUGAGCAUGAUUUUGUUACUAAUGCUCUUUCUAGUGUUGUUCAACUAGAAAAGGAAAACUUUGAGCUCAAGAAAAGGCUUGACAAGAUUUCAUGCAACUUCAACACUCUUCAAGUUGUGCAUGAGCAACUCAAAUGUUCACAUGAAAGCCUAGUAGAAUCACAUGCCAUGCUUGAGAUAGCGCAUGAGGUUGUUGUUACAAUGGUAAAAUCCUCUCAACCUCACACUCAUCCACUCACUAGCACUCCCUCUAAAUUAAAUAUUUCUUGUGCUAAUGAGUGUGCUUCUCAAGCUAGCCAAUCUUUGAUUGAGCAUGAUCCUAUGGAAAACCUUAGGCUCAAAGAAGAAGUAGAAAAAUUGAAGAAAGAUGUGAUUAGGUUGAAGGGUAAGGAGAAAGCACAACCUUCUCAAGAUAACCGUGAAAACAUGGUGAAGAAGCUUGAGAAGGGUUCAAAUCUUGCUUCCUCCAACAUACAACAAACUAACCACAUCACAAGCAAAGCAAUGUCAACCAAGAGCAAGAAACAUGGUAAAAGGUUAUGCUAUGGUUGCGGGGCAUAUGGGCACAUGAGAGAUAUGUGUCCAAACAAGAGUUGGGCCAACAAGUAUGAGGUGGCCGAGAAAAAGGCCUCUAGCAAGUUGGCAAACCAACUCAAGAUGGAUGAACCUAAAGCUAGCAUCAAGUGCAACAAAGUAAGCCACUUGAGCAAUACUUGCAAGGAUUUCAAGAGGACAAGAAACAAGGCUCAAGUUGCAACAAGAAGAUGUUAUGCAUGGAAUGAGGUUGGACACAUGAUAUAUGAGUGUCACAACAAACAAAACAAGGAUUGUAGCAACAAAGGUCGCAUUUGCUACAAUUGUAGAAGAAAGGGACAUCUAAGUUAUGAUUGUCCCAAAGGUAACAUGUCUAAAACAAAUGCAUAUGUUUCCAAUGAUAAGCUUAGGAGGACCUCAAAUGCAUCUAGUACUAGCCAAGCAAGGUAUUCACCACAUGCUAACACUAGAGCCACUUGGGUGCCUAAGCACAUUGCAACUAACUCUAUAGGACCCAACAAGAGUUGGGUACCAAAGUGUGCCUAAUCUGUGAUUGUAGGUACUUGGUGAAGAUGAAGGCUUCGGGGUGGUUGAGAAAGCAUAUCAUGUCUUUACAUUUGACACACUCAACCUAUCAACUUGUUCAUCAAUCUCCAAUAUGGAGUUGACCCAAAGCAAACUAAAUUGUCGUAUCAUUCACUUCAUCUUCAUCGUCGGUGAGAAGUACCUAAACCAAUUAGUUUAGUCACUUAUGCUUAAAAUUUCACAAAUAGCAAUAUUUGUGAUAUUUGAGAAAGUGACUAAGUAAAUAUGACCACAUACUUCCUUGUCAUUCGAUGCCACUAAAUGUCUCUCUAGUAGAGCAAUAUAUUCACCUAUGUGCAGGUCAAUUCAAAGGCAAAAGGAAUGGCGAGAAAACAAAUUGAUUAGUUUCUGUCCUGUGCAUGUCGGACGUGUCCGACAUUGGGUCGGACGUGUCCGGUAUUCUCAAGGCAGGAAUUUCUGUUGAAAAGCCCAUGAAAAGACCUGGGCUAGAAGUACUUUAGUAUUUAACCACUUUUGUUGUCCCAGGAUUGGUUCUACUCCCCAGAUCUUUUUUGUAGGGUUGUGGCUUAUGUCGGACGCGUCCGGCAUUGUCUCGGACGUGUCCGAAAUUUACGUGGCUGAAAUAACUUCGGUUUGCAGGCCAAGAAUUGAUCCUUGAACCUUAUUUAUUAUAAUUCUAUCAUAUUAAUGACCAUACUUCAAGUUACACUCAGUGGUAUUCAUAGGGGCUCAAGGCCAAGGUAUGGUUUCAUAUGAGCAUUGUAAGUGCAUGUAAGGUCCUUAUGCUAGAAUGUGCAUUUGAUUGACUUAAGAUAGAAUCUUUUCAAAAUCUCUAAUAGCAUGAGUAGGCUGAGUGGUUUGUGAAAACAAUUAAUUCUUGGUCUUUGUGGCCUAAUCAUGCUAAGUGUGGUUAUUGUUCUCCUUGGUUGAUUGACUGCCUAAUCACACUCGGCAUGAUUCUCUCAAGUCCUAAGUCACUCUUUUAUCUCUUCCUCACAUCUCUAAGACAUCAUAAGACUCAUGGACAUAAGACUGAGGAAAGAAUUCUUGAAGAAAUUUCAAAAAGAGAUUUGAAAUAUUUUGGAGUGCAAAAUGUGAAGAAAAGAGAUGUGAAAUGAUUGGAUUAAGUAAUUUAAAUAUACAUAUAUAUAUAUAUGUUUGGACUCAGUAUUAACAUAGAAGGGGUCUUGGAUCAAGAAAAAUAAGAAAUACAGCAAACUUUUGGAGCCCGAGCAUCUCGGACGCGUCCGGCCCCAUCUCGGACACGUCUGGUAUGCGCGGGGUUAAAGAAGCAGCGUACCCCUUCAGACCUGUUCUUCCCUCAUUCCCCUUUCUCCCUCCGAACCGCACAUUGCCACUUCUCUCUCAUCACCUUGGCGAUUUCGUGAGUUGUCCGUGGAAAAGGAAGGGAGGAAGGUGGAUUGGAGUCUCCAAGCAUCAAGAAUCAAGGAUCUGCAGCAAGAAAUCGAAGGCCCAAUUUUUCCUCCACUCUCACGGGGGAGAUCAUGACUAGAGACGGACGGAUUGAGCCAUGAACUAAGCACAAGAAUGAUCCCACAGCCAUGAGGUACUACAAAAGAACAAGGGAAGCUAGGAGAGCAGCUGGCAGCGGUAGUGGCAGUGGCAGUGGAGGUGGGAGGAGGAAAUCUGGCAGGCUUGCAGAUAGAGCACCAGCUGAUUAUGCAGAAGGUAGUGAUGAUGAUGAUUCUUCAUCUGCUUCAGAGUCAGAUCAGUUCAGAGUUGAGGCCAGAGGUGAGAUUGAGUCUGGGCAUGAGUCAGGCAAUGGUCAAGAGUCUGAGGAUAGUGAUGAAGACCAUGUGCAGACCCAGAAUGUACACCAGCACAGCAGCCAGGACAGGGAGGUGGACGUCACUUGGGGCAUCCUAGAGUCUAUGCUCCUAAUGUGCCAGAUUUUGUGCAGAGAGCAAAUUACAAGGGCACAGGGAUGACAAAGAGAGUGAAGACUCUUAGGAGUGAGGAUCCCAGUACUCAGCAGCAGGUGAUGUAUGACUACAGGUUUCGCACUCUGUUUUAGAUUGACUUUUACACCACUAUUAUUUUGAGUAGAAAUCCUGUGGUCAUCAAGUCUCAGUGGGCUAAGUGGAAGGAGUUGAAGGCUCACAAGAAGCCUUCACUUGAUAGGGCUGUUGAUAUUUGUGCACGGAUUGGUGCUAGUGAGAUCAUGUCUUUCAAGCAUGAUUGGAACACAGAGAUAGUGGCUCAGUUCUAUGCCACUUUGUAUGUUGAUUCAGAUAGGGUGAUGCACUGGAUGACAGCUGGUGAGUGUUUCAGUGUUGAGUAUGCAGCCUUUGCUGGAUAUCUUGGUUUUGAUGAGGAGGACCUUGCUAGAGACAAGAUUCAUGAUGAGAUUGUGACACCUCCAGAGAGGAUGGGUCAGCUCUACAUUCCAGGCUUUAGAGGAGCAAUUGUGGGGAAGGUGAAAGGUCUUUUCCCCACAUACAGAUACUUGGACAGGAUGUUCAGGAAGACCAUUGCCUGCAAGGUUGGAGACAAGGGCAAUGUGGGAGAUUAUAGUAGAAAUCUAUUGAUGAGGAUGUUGCCUGAUGUUAGACCAUUCAGUGUGUUUGUUUCAUUUGGAAUGAGAUCAAGUCAGUAGGUGAGAGACCAGUCAAGGGAUGUGGCUAUGCACCAUACAUCACUUAUAUGAUUCGACAGGUGACAGGCUACUCCUUUGAGUAUGACAAGCAGCACAAGGUUAUGAAGAUUGCUGCUGACUUGGCUGAGAUUGAUUUGUCACCUCCAGGAGCAGCAGGAGGAGGAGGUUCAGCAGCACACCCUACUCCACCUCGUGGUCCUUCCCGGUCUUCUUCACGUGGCCGUGCUCCUCCUUCUCCCAUUAGGAAGUUUUUCAGUGCUAUAUUUGGGAUGUGCAAGGACAUGAAUGCAAUCAAGACUAGACAGCACCAUGAGAGAGAAGCAAGGAGGAAGGAUACUCGUACUCUCAUGGAGCUUGCAUAGAAGAAUGAGCUUCCUACUCCUAGGUCUCCUAUUUCUGAUAGUGCUGCUAGUGAGCCUGAGACUUUUGAGCAGCAGCCGACUAGAUAUGAGAGAGAGUUUCAGCAGGAGUUUGGUGGAUACUCUCAGUCACAGCCGGUUCCACCAUAGGUACAGCAGGGUCAGACAGACCAGGGCGAGCAACCUGAGGCGCCUCUGCAGCAGCAGUCACAGGAGCACUGGUGGGACAGUUUUCUUUACUUUGGUGAGUCCUACGACUAUGACCACGGCUUCGGUGGUGCGGGGACCUCUAGUGGUUUUGGUGGCUAUGGCCAUCUAGGUGACCCAGGACAGAGUGGUUCUCGCCCACCAGGUACUUCUCGCUCUCCAGAUGAUGAUGAUGAUGAUGAUGAUGAUGACGAGUGAGAGACAGCCAGUUACAGCUUGCAGCCCUCCUAUGUCAUAUGCUUAUUCCCGUACAUUUUUUGGAGAUGGAUGACAAAGGGGGAGAGAUAUUGAUUAAAGCUUCAGAUGUUUUCAUGUUUGGCAUAUUCUGAGAUAUGUACUGCAGCUGUAGUGACUAUGAUGAGCUCUUUGAUGUAUGAGACUUGUUAUAUCAUCUUGUAUCAUGUUGAGUCUAUGUGAGAUAUUGAAUAAGACAUGAUCUUUAUCUUAGUGACUUGUGGACUUGGGAAAUCUAUGUGAUGUUUGCUAUGUGUGUUGGUUUAUAUUUUUCUUUAGAUUUCUAUUUUUGCAAGUGUGUUGCCAUGACUUUGUUGGUGUAUGUUUCAUAUUUUUUUCUUGUGUGAUUUAUACAUGUCAUGUGCAUCACGGUUAUAUUGUUCACACUCACUUGCACUGGAUGCAAUGAUUUAGGGGGAGCUUGACACUCACUUAAAAUGUGCAAAUUGACCUUUAUAGGUCUCAUUAUGAAUUCCACUCAUAUUGAACAUAUUAAGGGGGAGCUUCAAAUAAAUCAUUAAAGCCAAGAGCUUAAUUUCAUUAUCUUAUGUAAGCUUUAAUCAAGGUUGUCAUCAAUCACCAAAAAGGGGGAGAUUGUAAGUGCAUUAAGCCACUUAAUGUGUUUUGGAUGAUUGAAUGACAACCAUGAUUAAAGGAACUAAUGAUCUUGCUAAGUGUGAAACAGGGAAAAGCUAUCUCACAGUUAUGUGAUUCAAGUUUACAAAAGUCAAAAUUAUGUAUUGUUGUAUGAAGCAAUCUAGUUCAAGCACAAAACAACAAUGCAAAUGGAAUUAUUGAAAGAGGCUUAUUUAUUGUGAAGAUAGCUAUCACUCAUAUGAAAGCAAAAAUGAAAAGUAUAAAAUUGAUUGGAUGAUUCAAAGCACAAUAUGACUCGAAGACUUGAGAUGGUGAAGAUAGCAAGGAAAGGCUUCGAGGUACUAAGCAAGGGUGAAGGGCAAGCGACGGCUUGACGACCGAAAAAAACUUAGCUCGGGUGAAGAAGGAAUUACUUGCAUUUAGUUGAGGUACUAAUCAAGCUCUAAGGGUCAUGUUGAUGUGGAGGAUCAAAUCUACUAUUGAAGUAGUUAAUGGAAAUGACUUGGUACAUUUGGAGUCAAAUCUAUCUAUUGAAUGGAACCAAGUCAUGUGCUCAAGAUGGCUGUGCUCAAGAUGAAAACAAGUUUGACAUGAUGACAUCCUCAGCUUAUCAAGAAUUGAAAGAAAGGCUUUGGUUUGGUGGAAGCUUCUCAAGUGGUUUAAAUUUGAUUUAUCUUUUGUUCUUGAGUUGAUAGGAAAGCCGUACUAUUAAGAGGGAUGCAUCAUGAACAUGGAUUAAUACUCUCUAGUGCUCAAGUCAACCCUUGUGAGGCCUUAGAGGAACUAACCUGAGAGCUGAACUCUUUGUGCACAGGCCGUGCAUACCGGACGCGUCCGAUAUGAGUACUGUUGCGCAUACUAACUUUUUGAGUUGCGGUGACCAGGGAGUUGUUCUGGAAGCGCGUCAGCACUUCCGGUGCGCGUCAGUAGUGCUGACUUGUCGGAAGUUCCGACGUACGUCGGGAGUUCCGACGUAGGCUUCUCCGUGGUUGGGAGUAGCAAGCUAACAGGGGUAAGUUUGUUGGCCUCGUUCAUAUCGGACGUGUCCGGUAUGAUACCGGACGCGUCCGGUAUGGCCAACGGCUAGUUUUGAAAAUUGUCUUUAUAUACCCCUCAGCCCUCUUCUUUUAGGGCUGCUGAUUCUACUGGCUUGGAGACACAUUGCUGAGCUUUGCUAACUCUCCACAACCCUCUCUUUGUGAGUGUUUGGUCUAGAUUGACAAAUCCAUCUUGUGGGUUGAAAGAUCUUCGGUUUUGAGAGCAAGCCACCACUUGAGCACUUGAGCAUAUUGUCUAUCUCGUGAUUUGCAUUUGUUACUCUUGGACUCUUCGGUCCUAGACGGUUAGGCGUCGCCGGAGAGCACCCAAGUGUUUGUGGUUGCCUCGGAUUGUUUGUGCAGGUCGGAUUUCACCUCCGCAAGGGAAGAAAUCAACUAGUGGAAGGAGGAGUUGGAGUUGGAAGAGACUCCGGCUAGAGUUACCUUCGCGGUAUCCUCUAGGGAGGACCUUUGAGCUAGAGUGACCUUAGUGGUAUCCUCUAGGUCAUCGAGUGCCUUAACCGUAGCCCCCUCAACGGAGAUUAGGUCUCUACGGAGACCGAACUUCGGUAAAACAAAUUUUGUGUCUCCCUUUGCAUUACAUUUAAAAUUUGUGUCUUAUUCUUUGUGUGAGCUUCUCUGCAGGGUUCAAGUUUCAUAUAUACUGUGAUUGAGGUUUUUGCAGGGAAAGGAAGAAGUUUCACAGCACAAGGAUUGAAUAUCCUCUGCUCGUGAAUUCCGGACGCGUCCGAGAUUAAGCCGGACGUGUCCGAGUUGUGCCAGCACAGCAGAAUAUAUUUAAUUUGUAUUAUCUGUGUUGGAUACCUUCUUGUAGGGUAUUGUAUAUCUUUACUCCAUCAUACAAGCUGUGUGUAGGUUUAGGAGAAGCUGGAGAACAGAAACAACCAGGUGCUGUGUGCUCGUGUAUCUCGGACGUGUCCGAGUUGAUAUCAGACGCGUCCGGUAUUUGCGAGUUGUCAAUAAUAUUUCUUUGUGUGAUCUAAUCUCUGUGGUGCAGGUGUUAGACUUAGUUAAUAUUGUAUACGACUGGUUCUCUGAUUAUCUUUGUGUGGAGUCUUUCAUUUGCGUGGAAAACUCCAGUUCUAAUUGUUUCCGCAUUAUAAGUUGUAAAUUUUCAGAAACGCCUAUUCACCCCCCCCUCUAGGCGCAUCCUUGGUCCUUUCAGGUGUUGGUGUACGGAACCAUGAUAUGAGUCCUCGUACUCCGGUGCAGCCACUGUAGGUACUCCAUCCAUCUGGCCGGCUCGUGCGGUGGUAUUGAGUUGACGAGGGGAACCUGCCUGUGAUACCAAGUCUGCAAAUGUGCAUCGUUCCUGACCUCCCAAUCCUUUUGCGUGGACCGAAACCUGCGAUCGAUCCUGCAAAAAUAUAUUGCAUUAGCAAUGAGCCACUUAAUGGAAACAAACAAAGUGCCAUCAUACCUAUGCAGCUCAGCGUUUGUGGAAUACAGCGGUGGAAUCCCCUGCAGCCUCCCAAACUGUCUGUAACCCUGCAAGGGUAGUGCAUCUCGACCACGUGGAAGAAGAUCAGUGGGCCAUCGUAAAGCCAAUCGCUAUCCUCCUCCUCGCAGCGUGGACUAAGGUACCCCUCUAGCUCCCACCGAGACCACGGUGACCAUGUGACCUGCAAUAUUUGUAAACUUAUUUUUAGUAUUUCAAAAUAAAACGCAUUAAUAGUGCAUUUAGUACUAAAAGUGAAUUGAACUUACGUAGUUGUGUGUCAACACGUCUAGCUCUUCAGUGUACUGCCUGUACCUCCUGUCUGCUUCGCCCCUGACUACCUUAGCAUCUGACCACAGAAAAAGGGCGGUGGGUCCAACAUCUUCAGGCACCCAUACCUGCAAUUAACACAAACAUAAUGUCAUAAAUGCCUUAAGUGUUAUGAAGAAAUCAAAAUAGCAAAUGCACUUACAGGCAAACCCGGAGGUUUAGUGGGCCUUCCAACUGGAAAAUGCUCCCAAAUCCAAACCUGAAGUAGAUAUGAGCAACCACCUAGGUUUCCAUUCAAUGAUUGGCGACGACAGGCCUGGCAAAGCUGACGGUAUGUCCAUGCAAGCACCGCGCUACCCCAACUGUAGCCGGCAAUGUUGUCUAGUGGCUGCAUAAGGAUCCUCAGGAAAAUCCAGCUGAUGCUGUCUCCAGAGGAAUCAGGGAACAAGAAACCCCCCAAGAAGUGCCACAACCACACCUUUGCAUACAUCUCCACCUCAUGAUCUGGAGCAUCAGGCGGUGGUCCUGCACCAAAGUUCUGCGUAAUCCAAGACGUCGACACUCCUGAGGUUUUCCUGCAAUUACAAGUAAACAAAUAUUGUAUAAAUAUAGAUUUAUCUAAAAUGGUUGUAUUAGUAAUUUCAAUGGGACUCAAAUAUGAACUUACUUGGUGCCUUUAACUUCAGCAUCUGAUGGCCGCCUACCACAAAACUCCUGUACCAAGUCUAGCCAAGUAGACUCAUCGACGACCCCAGUCACCGGAUGACCAGACAAACUCAAACACAAUAUCAUCUUCACAUCCUGCAAUGUGAUAGUCAUUUCUCCACAAGGUGUGUGCAAGGUGUGCGUCUCUGGUCUCCACCUGCAUCGUUAUAAUGUUGUGUAUAUCAAUUAUUUGAAGGCACAUAUUUAACAAACAAAUUAAAUGUAAAAUGCUAUGUUACCUAUCAACAAAAGCAGUAAGAACUGCAGGGUCUAGAGUGGGAAGUCCACUGUUGUAGACCCGGACGAUCUCAAGAAAGCCUGCACGACGAAUGUACGGCGCGUAUCGCUCGUUCCAGCUGUGUACGUGGUGUGUGGGACCACGAAGCACACACAACGGCCUCUGCUGCUCCGACAAGGCCUUGGCCCGGUGGUCCUUGUCGUAGUCCGCCUCAAUGAGGCUAAAGCGGGGAUGAGGUGCCCGCGCCGCCAUCGUAGCCCGCCUGUUUCAAAAAUGAAAGAAACAACAUUAGUACAAUUAAUAACAUUAGUAAUAAGACAAAUGCAAGUAAAUUUGAUGACGAAUAACAUAAAUGCAUGUUUACUAAGAAUUUUGAUAAGCACAAAGAUUAAUAAACAACCUCUUGUCUACCCCUCCUAUGAAAUCUAGCGUUAUGACCAGGUUUCUUGCAAAUGCUGCAUAGGUUCUGCGCACGUUCUUCGUUGAAGUCACCGCCACCAUACAUGUUAUCGCCAUAACCUUUCAUAUUGUCCAUAUCGCCUUUCAGUCGCUUCUUCUUCCUCCUUCCUUUCCCUAUCUUUCUUAGGUCCGGAUAAGGCACGUAGUCCUCACCAUAAUAUGGAGGCCACUGCGACUCGUCAAGGUACGGCUCAAAGCUCUUCUCCCAAACAUUUUGGGUGUUGGCACGGAGAUACAAGGGUGACAUGUAUGGUUUAACUGUAUAGUCAAAACCUCUAAGCCGACAAGACGUAAUCAUGUGUGAGCAAGGGGCAUGCAUGAUCUGAGGUACGUUGCAACUGCAUUCUACUUUUUCAAGAUCCACACGGUACGUUCGCCCACCAAAUCGUUCGCCGCCAAGGUUUGUGCCCCCUCUAGCUCGUACGCUAAAAACAAGUCUAUCUCGUCCAUAGGCCUCGCCAACCUGUUGCUUGGACAACUCCUCAGCCUCCUGCAAAUAUUCAUGUGCAGCCUUCCCCCAUCUUCCAAGCUCCUCUUCAUUCCUCAGGGCUAGGCCAUACCGCGUAACAAAAUAUUCAUUACACUUCUUAAAAGAGAACUCAACAAUACCGGACACUGGUAGAGAUCGAACGCCUUUGAACACACGAUUGAAAGACUCAGAGGAGUUUGUUGUCAUUAUGCCAUACCGAAACCCAACCUCAUCAUAUGCUAAUGCCCACUUCGCUUUAUUUUCCAUCUGCUGAUCUAACCAUGCCUUGCCCGCUCGGUUCAUCAUCUUCUGUAGUUCCGCCAUUGUCUCCUUAAACUCAUGUUCCGUACAUUUAUUACAAAGUUCCUUUAACUUGUCUGCCACCUCCUUCUUUCGUUGACGGCGCCAGAAAUUAGCGGCAAAAUGCCUCAUGCACCAACGGUGCACUAGGGGUGGGUGCCCAUCAAUGUGUUCACCGGCAGCAUUAAGAAUUCCAAUGUGACGGUCCGAUAUCAAACAAAUGGUGCGAGAAGGACCAAGGACGUGAAGACGGAGCAGACGCAUGAACCAUGACCACGAAUCAUUGUUCUCCCCCUCUGCCAAAGCAAAAGCCAGUGGCACAAUUUGAUUCUCAGGGUCUACAGCAGUAGCCAUCAUCAAUGUACCUCUGUAUUUGCCAUUGAGGAAUGUGCCAUCAACUAGAACAACUGGCCGGCAAUACUGAAAUGCAUGCUUACACUGAUCAAAAUACCAGAACACACGGUACAGAAUAUGCCUCAACGGGUUCUGAAGAUAAAACCCUCCUGUGUAUACGAACCAUCUCAUGCCAGGGUUGAAGUGUUGCAUUGCACACAAAAUGCGUGGAACCCUGUUAUAGGCUUCCUCCCAACUACCCCACCUAAUUGCCAGGGCAAUUUGCUUUGCCCGCCAUGCCUUUCCAUAUGCUACCUCAUACCCAACAAAAGUGGCUAUGGUCUCCUGCAAGAAAGACACCGAUACGUCGUUGUCCGCAUCUACAAGACCCAAUAUACGGCGAGAAAGGUACCAAGCCGUCAACUGGGGAUGGUACCGUUUGCCCUUGUUAGUCUGGCAUCUGUGCGGCUGCUCCACUGAAGUUACCUUCCACUUCCCAUCACUCGACCGUUUCCGUGCAUUCAACUUCCACGUGCACGGGAACCCUGCCUUGCAUACUAUUUGAAAUUUUACCUCCUUGUCGGAAUGCCGAACCGUGUACGGCCUAUGAUGAUACACAGCAUAGUCCUGAAGGAACAACUUCAUCUCAGACAUCGUAUUGAAAAGCAUUCCCUUCCUGAGUAUUAAAUUUUCAUGGUUGUACAAUGAUUCCUUACAAAUCUGCAAACCCGUGUCACAAACCGCCAUAUGCGACAUGCUGACAUCCAUAUAAUUUGGAACACCGGUAAAGGGCAAGCCAGCCUCCCUCAGCUGUGUAAGCUCUGCCGAUGUAUAAGAGGGUGGUGCAACGUAAGGUUCCGCCACUCUAACCCGACCCCAUCCUUCAUAUUCCUCUCCAUCAACUGGAUACCCUGUGCCUAAAUUGCCCUGAGUCCUCGUUGCAUGAAGUACCUCAAGCGGAACUCCUGAGGGCAUGCCACGAACCGGUGCACACAUGUCAGGUGAACCUACUUCCUCACUAUCUGAUUCCUCAGAAUCAGAGCAAACAUCAUCACCAAUCAUUUCAUCCUCUGCCGCCUCAUUCUCCUCAUGUUCAAACUCGUCUACAUCAAAAUCAUUUCUUAUUUGACCAACUGGAGGAGAUUGAACCCGCUCCUGCGUCCAAUUACCAUCCAAGUCCAUACUCUCCAUAGUUUGUUGGACAUGCACACCACAAUCACCACCGUCGUCGAAGGACGGCUCCUCAUUCUCAACAGUCUCCAACACCAACUCAGCCAUUCCUACAUUCGAACCUUGGAUGACCCUAUUGUAUCGGGACCACUCAGCUUGGUUGCACAAGUCCAUCAUCACAUAGUGUGCCCUAUUCUUUCCAACAUCAAACCUACCCUUUAGUGUGAAACCAUCGCCAAACUUCAAACUCAAACGCUCACAUAGAUCACUGAAACUAGGGGGACCAUCAAACCAUUCCAAAUCCUCAGACAUAUCCUCAAACUGACAAUCCUCUCUCCUAACACAUCCUCCGUAGAAAACUCUUACACCGUAGUCCAUCUACAAAACGAUUUAAGUACAUUCCUCAUCAACUAACCAAUAUGGUACUAAUAAAUACUAAAUAACUAACUAAGUACAGUACUACCGAAUUUAUUAACUAUUUUACUAACUAAAUUACUAUAUAAUAAUAGUAACUAAUAACUAAUUAUUAAUUACUAAUCACUAAAUCUUAAUAUCUAAUUACUAAUUACUAGGUAACUUAUAUCUAAACACACUAAACAUUAUUAAAUAAUAAUAACUAAUCACUAAAUAACGCUACUAAUAUUUAAUAAUAAUAUUAACUAAAAACUAAUUACUAUAAAACUAAUAUCUAAACAAAGUUUAACUUUAACUAAUAAAAAUAACUAAUACAAAAUGUAAAAUAAUAAUACUAAAUAUGUAAUAAUAUGAGUUUAAAUAAAAAAAAUACCUUCACAACAAGGUGGCCGGAUGGGGCAGGGCGCGGAGGCCGGGCAGCAGCGGCGUGCCGCGGCGCUGCAGCGGGGCGCGGAGGCCGCGCGCGGCAGCGGCGGCGCGCCGCGGGGGCGGGACGCGGCCGUGCGCCCGGAGCGACGCGGCCGCGACGCGCGGCCGGGGGCUGGGGGCGUCCGCGUGAGGGCGUGCUCGGCGCGGGAGGACGUGCGCGGCAGGCGCGGGGGCGGGGUUGGGCGCGAGCGCGGCGGCGGCGCGGGCACGGCAGCGGGGCGGCGGGUGCGCGGGGUCGGCGUUAGGGUGUGGGCAAUGUGCGGGUCGGGCCCCGGUUUUUUUCUGACACGGGGUAACCCGCCACGAUGCGGGGCGGGGUGCGAACCCGCCAUGAUCCGCGGCGGAGAACCCCUACCCCGCCACCACCGACGGCGGGGUCCACGUCAGCCGGCCCCGCCUAUCCGGGCGCCACGUGGCGCUUCAACCCCGCCGCCAUGCAUGGCGGGGUGUAGUGGUUUUGCCCCGCCAUGCAUGGUGGCGGGGCCAAACGGCCUAGUUUUGAAAUUUUUUUCAAAAACAGCCUAAAAUUGAAAUUUGAUUUAAAAAUGGGCUAAAAAUAAAAAAAAUUCGCAGCGGCAGCAGGUAGUCCUUCCGCUGGUGGAAGAAGGGAGGGAUGCCCGAGGUGGAGCGGUUUUCAGGUAAUAUAAGCAUCUUCAGUUUAUUUUUUUAGUUAUUACUUCGUUGGGUAAAAGAAAGUAAUUUGUACAUGUUUGUUGAUUGCACACGUACCAUUUGGGGUUGCAGCAAUGGGAAAGAUUAACGAAAAUAGAGAUGUUGAUGCUUGAUUAACCAAAAUGUAUUGAUUUUAGUGGUUCAGUGCAUUAGUUUCAGUAUCCGGAUGAACAGAAGUAGAGGAUGUUUAUCUUCUACCUGCAGGCUGCAGGCCAAAUAUAUAUAAAAAAAAACCGCAGUUUCCUGUGCAUGUUUCAAUGGAGGAACCCAUUUUGUAAUGACUUGAUGUGUAUACAAAGAACCAUGUAUGCCAUCAUGGUUCAUGAGUGGUGGGUGGACAAGGGAACAGUUAAACAAGCACAGAGAGUCAGAGAGACAUAAUAAAAAUCUUAUUUUCAUCUUGGUAGACUACGUUAGCUGAUUAUACAACUAUAGUUAAACAAUAUUUAUCUGAUGAUUUUUAUUAAUCUCUGCAUAUGGUUAACCUAGGAAUUCUUUCUUAUUACUACAAAUGGUACUUACAUGGUUUUAUCAGAACUCGCUGUGUGUCUAGUCACUUACAUAAUUGAUUGAUUCUACUCAUUACUGAGUGAAGUAUGGCAUGGAAGACAAUCCAAGAGAGUUCGGUUUUAUGAUUAAUUGGUCUCUAAUAGAGAAAAAACAUACUUUUCAAGUAGCUUUACUUAGGUUUCUCUACAUGAUCAGAUCUUCUUCUUCUUAAGUCAGAAUUCCUUUGAGGCUGUGUAGCGACCGCGGAUCGAGUUUUGAAAUGAUAUGUAGCAGGAACGCUCGUGGUGAGUCAGGAGUUCAGAGGUUUUCUUGAUCUGCAGGAGAAGAAUUCUUUUUAAGUCAAAAUACCGGAGACUGGGCACCAUGGAUUUAGUUUUGAAAUAAUAUGUAACAGGAACAAUCGCAAAGCAAUGUUGAGAAUAUGGUCAGCUAUGUCCACUCCAACGAGUGAACUGAAUCGAAGAACACGUCCUUAUCCGUUUCUUGAUAUGUCAGCGGUUUGUCCAAGCCGCAAAGCACACACAAGUCUCAACGAGUCCUGUGCUGUAGCAGCCUUGCGCAAUGUUUGUGGAGUAUCUCAUGUUUCAUAAGUUCAUCCAAUGAAUUUUGAUGAAAUUAACCAAUUCCUCGUAUAUAUACUUCUUCCGUCUCAAAGGAAAUGUAAAUCUCAUUUUCCAAGAAAAGUAAAAAAAAUCUUCAAGUUUAACUAAAUUUACAGAAGAUAUUAUCCAUAAUUAGAUCUCUAAUUAAAUUUAUUAUAAAAAUAUAUUUUAUGACUAAUCUAUUACACAUUAUAAAUAUUAAUAUUUUGUUAUUUAUGUUUAGUCAAAAUUAAGAAUCUUUGACCUCUGAGGAUAUGAGGGUUGUAUUUUUCUUUGGAGAAGAAGGUAGUAUUGAUUAUUAGCUUAUGAGAAAUAAGAUGGUGAUACAUCAACUUAUUUUAUUUCACAAACCAAAUAUAAUAAAUGAGAAGUAAGAAAAUGAUAAAUCACAUUAUUCUUCGAACAAACACAUGGAUUGACUAUGAGACCAUUUGAUUUGAAACGUUUUUUUUUUUUGACAAGUAUUUGAUUUGAAACGUUGACUGUGAGAAUAUGAACCGAAGCGGGAACGGGACACGACAAAUCGGCAGACUCAGCUGUCACCGUUCUGGGCCCACGCUCCCCAUCUCGUCAGACGGUGGUGACCCACGGUCCAGAUCUACUUGCAUGUCCACAGCGUCAAGUCGUUGCGGAGAUGAGGAGGUCCACAGCUCUCAAGGCGGCGGCGGCGGCGGCGGCGCUGCUGGUGCUGCUCUCGCUGACGGCGGCGUACAUGUCGUACUGGGAGAGGAUGGAGGAGGAGAUCCACGGGAUGUUCAUGGAGUAUAAAGCCCGCUGCAACAAGACCUACAACUCCACCACCGGCGAGGAAGAGUACCGGUACGCGGUGUUCGAGGAAAACUUCCGCCGCGGCUACCGCGUCUCCGUCUGCAUCUUCGGCGACAUGACCAGCGAGGAGGUUAGCGCAUGGAAACCCGGCGCAUUACCCUUCGAAAAAGGCCGAAUUAUUAGGUGGCCAGCGGCAGCAGGUAGUCCUUCCGCCGGUGGAAGAAGGGAGCAAUGGCCGAGGUGAAGUGGUUUCCAGGUAAGCAAGCAUCUUCAGUUUAUUUUUUUAUUACUAUUACUUCGUUGGGUAAAAGAUAGUAAUUUUUUGUUACAAGUUGUUGAUUGCACACAUACCAUUUGCAGCAAUGGGAAAGAUUAACGAAAAUAGAGAUGUUGGGCUUGAUUAUAACCAAAAUGUAUCGAUUUUUUUAGUGGUUCAGUGCAUUAGUUUCAGUAUCCGGAUGAACAGAAGUAGAGGAUGUUUAUCUUCUACCUGCGGGCUGCUGGUCAGAUUAAAAAAAACGGCAGCUUACGGUGCAUGUUACAAUGGGGGAAUCCAUUUUGCAGUGGUUUGAUGUGUGUACAAAGAACCAUGUGUGCCAUCAUGGCUCAUCAGUGGUAGGGUGGACAGAGGAACAGUUAAACAAGUACAGAAUCUCAUUUUCAUUUUGGUAGAUUACGUUAGCUGAUUAUACAAUAUUGAAUAUUCUGUAGUUAAACCACAAGUAUGUGAUGAUUUUUAUGACCUCUAGAUACGAUUAGCCUAGAAUUCAUUAUUGUUACUACUGAUGGUACUUCAUGGUUUUAUCAGAACUCCUUGUGUGUCUAGUCACUUACAUAAUUGAGUGAUUCUACUCAUUACUGAGUGAAGUAUGCCACGGAAGACAAUCCAAGACAAUUCGGUUUUAUGAUGAUGAUUAUUAAUUGGUUUCUAAUAGAAAAACAUACUUUUCAAGUAGCUUUACUUUAGAUUUCUCUGCAUUUGGACUGAAAUAAGUUUAGCUGAAGAGGAAAAGACAGAAAAAAAAUACUGUGGUAAUGGUUGAUGAUCCGGUGCACUCAUAUUCGUUUUCAUGUGAUGGACGAUCUCAACAUUUUUAGAGAGAACCAUCUCAUUUGACAUGAUACCAAAUAUCCUCUUGAUUGCAUCGCCGGUGCUUGCUCUGCAUUGUCAUCACUGACAUAAUACCUCCCUGUUAAUUUAUUCAUUGCAUGUUUUUGUAUAGAUUCUCAUUCGUUACUUUUUAUAUCAGUUAUUGAGGGAAAUGAAGUCUUGAGAUAGCACCAUUCAUGGAGAGAUGAAGCAUAGGUGGACCUGAAUAUGGCUAUUGCAUGUAAUAAAUUUGAGUUGUAAAAUGUAUGCAUUUCCGGAGGAUGAAAUGAGAAAAAAAAAGGUAAAGUCCACUGUCGUUUUCUAAACUUGUGCUUUCAUGUUAUCUUGGUUCUUGAACUUACAAAAUUCUUAUAUAGAUACCUAACAGUAUAUACUGUUCGAUUCUCACUAUAGUUUCAUCGGGUCUCUUUGUUCGAGAUCAGAUUCUCAAGGCAAUUCGAACGAAAAUGAAUUUUAGAAGAAGCUACACUAGUGGCAUUCGAACUACAGUAGCAAUGUAGGCCUCGCAUCAUUCAACUUCACGGUGAGGCUGAGCCGCUGCACACCCUGGAGGUGAUGAUCAGCGACUCAGUGUCCUCCUGGUGUUCCUCAAUCUCCCUGUGGUGCCACGGUCUCUGUUCUUCGCCUGGUAAAAGUUUAGGAUUUUUUUAUUUUCCCAUUUUUUAGUUUCUUAUAUUUUCCCUUUAUAUUUGGUUGUGUUCUGUUGCGUCGAUCGGUACCUGAACCUUUUUUUUUUCUUUUUAUUCGAUAACGGGUUCCUGAAGCUAUAGGUAUCCAGCUUAAUUUCUUUCAUUUGGGUGUUUCUAAGACUUUUGUAUGCUUUCAACAAAAAUGUGUAAAAAAAAGAACUCAAGAGGUACAAGUGACGUCACAGGAACACUCGUAAUGCAGUGUUGAGAAUAUGGUCAGCUAAUAUCCUGUACGUCUGCUCCGACGGGUGAACUGAAUCGAAGAACACGUACUUGUCCGCGUCUUGACACGUCAGCGGUUCGUCCAGGCCGCACAUCACAGAUGUCUCGAUGAGUCCUGUGCCACAGCAGCCUUGCUCAACGUUCUCGAAUCCUGCAGCUCAUCGAUCGCAAACAAACAAAUUAAAACCCCAGUGUGUGUGUGUGUGUGUGUCAAUUCGAUCUAGAGCUGAUCCGAUGCAAGAAUCAGUGCACGCGUUGUGAAGAACUGAAGAUUAAUUAGAUUUUUGGAUCACUCACUCACCGUAGUCCGACGGAUUGGCGACGAUGUCAGCCACGACGCUGUACGUCUCCGCGUAGACCACCCGCGCGCCGGCGAGCUCGCCGUCGAGCCUCCUCACGACCUCCUGCAGCCCGGCGUUGAACGUCGCCGCCAGGCGGUUGUACUCCUCGUUGCAGUCGCCGGGGUCGUCGCGGUUGAGCGUCCUGGCGGCGGGGAUGCACCCGAACGGCGCGAGGCCGGUGAACUCCAUCUUGCGCGCGCCGAGGCCGUAGGCGUCGCGGACGGCAGCCUCGGCGAGGCCGACGAGGUACGCGGCGUACUCCGCCGGCGUGUACUGGGCUUGCCGGAGAGGGAAGGUGAAGUAGUUGACGAUGAAGUCGUUGGUGCCGAUGCUGAAGAUGUACACGGCCUCGGCGAUGAUGCCGUUCGCCGCGGUCUCCCCCUUUGCGAGCUGCAGUCUCGCCUUGUACUCCUUGAAGUACUCCAGCUGCUGGCUCAUGGGGAUAACUGACUGGAAUAAAUUCCAACAGGUUCCAAACAAUAGAGUAAUUAAGUUGUUGAAUAAUACGUAGUACUUCUUAGAAGAUUAUUUUAGGGUUACCAGAAGAAAGAAAAAACAAAAUUUUGUUAUGGCCAAAAUUUUGUUACCAAAUUGUGUGUGGCACGGGCUCGGGCUGGUGGAACGCGCGAGACAGUGGUGAGCAUGCAGCUGGUGGCGUGCGGGAGCAGUGCCGGUCAUGAGGAAGAAGAUAGCGAAGGGGGAGUAAGAAGAUGAUAGCUUGUAGGGCCCACACGUCAAUGGCAUGGGAGACAAGAGAGCAGAGGGGCACUUUGGGCAAUAAAGAAUACAAUGACAUGUGUGUGGGUCCAACAUAUGUCAUCCCAAACAUAUAAAGUGACAUAUAUUAGGUAGAACAAAAUUUAUAAUGACACGAUUUAAAAAAAGAUAAUGAACUACUAUAGUAUAUAUAUCUCCAAUCCACGAAAACCAUAUAUAAUGGCACCAAUGUAAUUAGUCCAAGAUUAAAUUGGGGUCUAGCUCCUAGCCUCCUGUCGCGCUCCAUAGUUGGCACGACACCGAGAGGUCGAAUGCCGAAGAGCGAAGACAGUUAGGGGUGCAAAGAGGUAACCUUUAGGUGCACCUCCAAACCUAUUUAGUUCAAAUAUUUGUACUACUUCUUAAUUUUUUUGGAGAAGUAGUAUAAAUAUUUGAACUAAAGAGGUUUAGAGGUGCACCUAAUCAUCACUCAUUUGCACCCCUAAAGACAGUGAUGGGAAAAUGCAAGAAAAAAAAUCCUUGCCCCCUUCGUGUGUGGGCUUGUAGUGGCGGUAGCUACAAAGAGCAUCGAGGAGCAUCGUGUGGGAAAAGGAUGCUUGCAGUUGCAGGAGAGGGGAGGCACGUGUAGAAAACUCCUACGUGGUCGUGUGGAUGGCGAGCUACAAUGACUCCAGGAUUCUACCGAGCGAAUAUGUUGAGAUAGCAGGUGGAAACGAGAAAGAAACCUAUUAGACUUGUUUUCUAGCGUAGAACCGCUAAAGCAAACUUGGUGCAGGGGGUGACGAGGCUGUAAGAGUUGCUCCUAGACACUUGGAUAAUCAACUAAACACAUAUUUUAAUUCUUCAAAGACCUAAUGAUGUGGCCCCUAUGUGUCGCAUGGUUAUCAUCCAGGCAUCUUAUUUCUUAGCCUAAGUUGAACUUUGACUUGGCUCCAAUCCAAACAUCUGCUUGUACUUUACCAACCUUUUGCCAUGGCAAAAUUGGCUUGUUUUACCUUAUAUCAACGUGAACCUAAUUACCUAACACAGCCAAGGUGCUAUAUAGAGCAGAGUCAAAAUAAAGUGACGACAGAAAUACAUCACUCUUGAGAGAGCAAAGGGGGUCCGUUGCCAUAUGUCAGUUUGUUGAACCAUUGUAUUUAUACGCUGGCUUAGUCAGUCCUAUGUAAACUUUGCGUCUUAUAUUUGCAAGGUGACGAGGAAACAGCAGCAUGGGCCACCAGUCAAAAUAAAGGAG